rnacentral:lncRNA from 1 species
CUCAAACACGCUGAAAAACUCAAUUUUUAAGCUUUUUGAGCAUUCUAAAGUCUAUAUUAAAGUUGUGUGACUCAAAUUGUAAGAGAUUGCUUGCAAGUCAAGUUGAAAAAUAUAUCAAGUUGAAAAAUAUAUGUUUUCUUUCUAGAAGAUUUAGUAUUUAUUAGUAUAAUAUAUUUAGCAUUUAUUAGCAUAGUUUAUUUGACUUGCUAAUUUAGCCUAUGAAUAGGAUCUUUUACAACCUUAGAAAAUACACCCAUUAGAUAUUAGAACUCAUAACACAUUUAGAGAAUUUUGUAUUUAUGUUUUGAGGGUUAUUUGUUUUUGGGUUUUAGGGAUCUAGUUUUUAUCUCUAUCUUUUGUACUUUUCGUUCUUUUGCCAUUAUAGUAAAAUUAUUUUUGCAUGUGGUUUUUUAUCCUCUUUGGAGGGGUUUUUUCACUUUAAAUUUGUGUGUUCAAUUUCUCAAUUUCUUCUGCUAUUUUUACUCGUUCGUUGCUUAAAUCGGGUCGAUCCUAACAAGUGGUAUCAGAGCUAGUUUAAUUUUUAUAGAUCAGCCCGUCUAGAGAUUGCAACAAUAAGAUUUGAAAUUGAGAAGUUCGAUGGUGAGACAAAUUUCAAUCUAUGGCAAGUUCGGAUGAUCGCAAUUCUAGUUCAAACAGGCUUGAAAAAGGUUGUUACCAGAAAAAAGCCUGAGAAUCUAAAUUAAACAGAAUGGGAAGAGCUUGAUGAAAAAGCCUUUUCUGCAAUCCAGUUAUACCUCACGAAUACGGUAUUGCAGGAGGUAUUGAUGGAGAAGACCUCAUCCGCAUUAGGGCAAAGGUUAGAAACUCUUUAUGCGACUAAGUCUCUGGCUAACCGUUUAGCGUUGAAACAACGUCUAUUUACGUUUCGCAUGAACGAAUGUGAGUUUCUUAGAGAUCACAUCAAUCAAUUCGUUACUCUUUUAAAUGAUUUAAAGAAUGUUGAGGUUCAUAUUGACGAUGAAGAUCAAACUAUGCUAUUAUUGUACUCUUUACCCCUUUCAUACAAGUCUUUUAGGGAAACACUGAUUUAUGGUAAAGACAAACUCUCAUUCGAAGAUGUGAAGGGUCAUUUGUUGAGUAGAGACAAACUCGACAAUGAGUUUGGUUUGGAUAGCAAGGCAGAUAGACAACCUUUCGUUUUGGUAGCAUCAAAGAAAUGAGACAAAAGGUGUCGCUAUUGUAAAAAGUUAGGUCACAUCAAAGCAGGUUGUUAUAAACUGUGAAAAAUGAGGAAGAUGUAGCUGGUGCUAAUUUGGCCGAUGAAGGUGGUGAUGAUUUCUUGUUAGUGUCAACAAGUGAUAACUCCAAACUCACGUCCAAGUGGAUCCUAGAUUUGGGAUGUUCUCUCCACAUGUGUCCCAAUAGAGAAUGGUUCUCCACAUACAGUUUGGUUAAAGGUGGAGUUGUACGUAUGGGAAACGAUUCAUCCAGUAAGGUAAUUGGUAUUGGUACUGUUAAAAUUAAGAUACAAGAUGGGGCAAUUAGGACACUCUCAGAUGUUAGGUAUGUACCUGAUUUACGAAAAAAUCUUAUCUCCUUGAGUAUUUUAGACUUGAAAGGAUGUAGAAUCAGCAUCGAGUCAAGCGGUAUUAAAGUAUCUCGUGGAGCUUUCGUUUUGUUAAAAGAUAAAAAAACCGACAGUCUUUAUAUUCUGGAAGGAUCUACAGUGACUGGUGAAAUCAGACGUCCCUCGUCCGUUACGGAGUCGAAGUCAACUCAUUUGGAGCGGAGGCAACUUGGUCAUAGGAGGGAAAAAUGUAUAACCAUUUCGUUGAAAAGAGGUUCUCUUUUGGAUGCAGGUUUUGAAAAGUUAGGGCACUGUGUUCGUGAAAAUCAGACCCUGGUUAGUUUUGAUUUUAUAGUGCACAAGUCGAAGGCUAGUAGUCUUCCAGGUUCUAAGCACAGAUUUGACUCAGUUAAUUCCCUGCAUAGUUUAAGAUAGGCCCAUGGCGGGCUUUGGCAAAGAUGGCGUUGAAAGAAUUCACGUCAAGAUGGAGAUUGUUAGAGUUGUGUGACCCAAAUUCUAAGAGAUUACUUGCAAGUCAAGUUAAACAAAAAUAUAUUUUCUUUCUAGAAGAUUUAGUAUUUAUUACUAUAAUAUAUUUAGUAUUUAUUAGCAUGGUUUAUUUGACUUGCUAAUUUAGCCUAUAAAUAGGGUCUUUUACAACCUUAAAAAAUACACCUAUUAGAUAUUAGAACUCAUAACACAUUUAGUGAAUUUUGUGUUUACGUUUUGUGGGUUCUUUAUUUUCAGGUUUUCGGGAUUUAGUUUUUAUCUCCAUCUUUUGUACUCUUCGUUCUUUUUCCAUUAUAGUAAAAUUAUCUUUACCCGUGGUUUUUUAUCCUCUUUAGAGGAGUUUUUCCACGUUAAAUUUGUGUGUUCAAUUUUUCAAUAUCUUCUGCUAUUUUUACUUAUUCGUUGCUUAAAUCGGGUCGAUCCUAAUAGUCUAUAAAUACCAAUUAGAAGAAGACCUAAGGGAGCACGCAGAGAAGAUCGAAUAAAAGACUCGAAGAACGCUAUCAGAAUCAACUCGGAAGCAGGUCUCCUUCAAGAUUGAAGAUCUCCAUUUAAUUUCCUUCGAGAUAUUUUUAUCCUCUUUAUGUCUUGUUGUUAUCCUAACUUUGAGAUAUUUUUAUUUCAGAUUAUGAGCUAAAUUCCCUAGAUACCUAGGGAAGAUGAAACCUAUGAUGCAUCUAAUUAUUUGAUUUUUGAUUUACAUGAUAAAUAGUUGAUUCUUGUUCUCAAUUAUGUAUGCUUAUUUCGUGUUUUAAUAUUUUUGGGAUAUUAAUUCAUGUUUAAUGUGCUUAUUUCAGUGGAGCAAAAGUCAUUGUUUAAGAGUAGAUCUAGCAUAAUUGAGUGGAGUUACAUGCAAUCCUAGAAAUAGGACGACAUAAAUCUACUAGAUUAGAGUCAAAUCUAAUAGGGGAAUCCAUAGAUCGAUUUAAUGCGAUAAUAGGGGUUUUAAUUAGAAAGAGAUUUCAAUUAAUUAACCUAGAGUCAGUUGUUCUUACUCUCGAAAGAGAUAUUAACAUAAUUUAGGGAUUUCUACAUAUCAAGACACAAGUGAGUAAAUCGUUUAAUUCAGACUCAGAAUAAUAGGUGAAUAGGUGGAUUCUUUCCUGGGUAUUUUCUAUCUCAUUGGUUAUACUCGAUUAUUUUCCCAAUUCAUUCUCUGUUGCGUUCUUAGUAAAUUAGUUUAGUUAAUUUUAGAUUAAAAACAAUUUAAUCAAUUUGAUGGCUAAAUAAUAGAAAAACAAUAAUUACUAGUACUUUUAGUGCUCGUGGAUACGAUAUUCCCUACUCACCAUAGCUAUACUAUUAUUCGAUAGGUGCGCUUGCCUUUAUCGUAAUUUUAGUUAGUUUAGUGACCAUCAAGUGGUAUAUAUAAUGUUAGUUUUAGUCAUGAAAAUAUUUAAAAAAAAAACAUUUCUAAUUUUUUUUGGAAGGGAUUCUGUUUUAAAUAAUGUUAUAAUUUAGACUUAACGGUUUUCUAAGCUUCAAAAAAAAUAAUUAAGCUCUUUCGAACUUUUUACACCCAAUUAAGUCAUUGAACUAAUAAAAUUGGCAGAAUAAACUCGAUGACUAAUGUUGACCGCUAGUAUUUAAUAGCAUUGUUGACAUGGUUGUUAACAACAAAAAUAAAAAAUGUUUUAAAUUAUUUUUUAAAUAAUUAUACAAUGAAUCUGGACAACAAGAUGUUCGAUUUCAUUUGAAUAUAGACAUCUAUUUGUAUAAAUACAUUCUAAAAUUAUAAAAAUUAUAAAAAAAAUCAAAAUUUAUGAAAUUAUUAUAAAUUAAUUAAAAACAUAAAAAUUUAUAAAAAGAUUUAUUUUUAUAUUUAAAUAAAAAAAUCUACAAUUUAUAUAAUAAAAUCAAGAUUAACAUUUUUAUUAUAUUUUUGACUCAUUGUUCAAUUUGGUUAAAAUAUAUUAGUCAAAUAAAUUUUCAAUCGGUGCUCAAGUCGCAUUGCGAUGUUAAAAAUUGGUAGUGACAUGACAAUAAAUUCAAGAUACAACUGUACAUAAAAGACUAAUUGGAAAACUACUUUAUUUAACUAAUACUAGACUAGAUAUAGCAUAUUCGGUUCAGUAUCUAAUAAAGAAUAUGGAUGAAUACGGAAGCGAAUUGUAAAGUUUGUCAAAAUUGCGGAUUUAUCCUAGAUUUCUAGACGAAUGUAAACUAAAACAAGAAACAACGAAAACAAAUUAGUUGUCACAAAGGAGAGCCAAACAAAAUUAAAACAAAAGAAAGAUGAACUAACUGGUAAAGAGUCCAAAAGAGAACAAGUUAGGGUUUCUUGGAUGGAAAGAAACCGUCCUUGGACCUCAAGAAAAUGUCCCAACCAAAUCUGGAAAAAUAAAACACAAACAAAGUUGUUAGAACUGAUUUUAAAGACAAAAGCAAAUUAUUUUGUGCAAGAAUGCUUGAAACAACAAGAAGAGAUUAAAACUCCUAAUUUUGAUGUGUUUCUUGAUGGUACAAGGUAAGAGAACGUCUUUCUUGAAGCAACUUUAACCUAGAACAAAAAUCAAUAAAAUCAGUAAGCCAAAAUAGCAAAAACUAACUUAAAUAAGUAAGAAAUGAUAAAUUAAGGAUAGAAAAUAGAAAAUGGCAUCUUAAGAAGUCUUAGAAACAUUAAGAAUUCACAACUCCUUUCAAUGGCUCUAAUUCCCCCUCCAAGAAAGAGAUCUUGGCAAGAAAAAGCUUGAAAAUGAUUCCCACAACCUGAAAGAUUGUUAAAACAGCUUCUAAAAGAAAUUUAAGAGCAAUUCUUGAAGAAAAACUUAAAGAGAAUUAUUAUUAACUCGAAAAAAUAUAAAUCAAUUGUGUGUAUAAGGGUGAACAUCCACGCUACUUAUAGGCUCCCAAAAUAAGUUUUCCUAACCCUAAGGGAAUAACUAAUAUGAUAACUCAUCAAAUAAAAAAAACAAAAUAAUUCUAAGUGUGGACUUUUAAUGAGAAUUCAGUCAAAUGACUUAAAUGGGCUCAUUAGGCUGAAUUCUUACACAAUGAUCCACCUAUUAAAAUAAAAUUAGACCAAUAGUUUACAAUUUGGGCCAUUUUGAUAAUUGAGCCUGAUAUUCAAUUAAAUUGUUUUCCAAACUUUAGGAUGGGCUUAUAGAAAUCUUAAUGGGCCAUUUUUUUAAGAACUUGAUCUUGUGAUCCAUUUGCUUUUCGAAAUUGGCUCGUUCAAGCUCAUACAUGAAAUACAAUACGCCUUGGCUGCAAGAUUCAGUUUCUUGGACCAAGAUUUCCAAGAUUUAAAAUCUUGAUUUUCUUGAUUCUUGAAAUUGUUCGAAACAACAAAAUUGAACCAAGAUUUGGUUUCUUGAUUUUCUUGAAAACAAGAAAGUGAAUUUUGAUUUUCUUUUUCGAUCGUGUGCGCAUCUAAGGCCUUGGUAAUGAAGUCUUGGAUGGUCCUGUUCAAUCUUGCUCGGAUUUGCUAGGCCUUCAUGUUCAUGAGCCUUAUUUUGGACAUUGACACUCGCAUCAGUAUCAUAGUCAGUAUAUGCAGUAGCGAAAGAAAUCCCACUAUGAAGAUGCACUUAGAAUAGUCAAGUAUAUUAAAAAGGAUCCAGGACAAGGGAUAUUGUUGUUUGCAAAAGGCAUUCUGCAAUCAGAAGCUUACUAUGAUUUAGAUUGGGUUGCAUACGGCAUACCCUAUGACAAGAAGGUCAACUUCAAGUUUUUGCGUCAAAUUAGGAGAUGCACUUGUGUCUUGGAAGUCAAAGAAGCAAGGGACUAUUUCUAGAUCUUCAGCUAAAGCAGAGUACAGAAGUAUGGCAAUAGUAGUGGCAGAAGUAGUAUGGAUAAUAGGAGUUAAAAUGGAGAAAGUUGUGCGGUUGCAUUUUGACAACCAGACAGGUCUAUAAAUAGCAACAAAUCCUAUUUAUCAUGAGAGGAUUAAACAAAUAAAAAUCGACUACCAUUUUGUAAGGGAAAAAAUCUAGGAAGGGUUAAUUGAAACUCAACAUGUUUCAACAAAGGAACAAGUUGCAGACAUUAUAACAAAGAGCUUGAGUGUUCAAUUGCAUAACUGUCUUGUUUCCAAGUUGGGGUUUAAAGAUAAUUUUCAUCCACCAACUUGAACGAGUUAGUAUAGACAAUUAGUCUACCAUUAAUUACUUGAUGACCAUUGUAGAGGCCCAAAUUUGCUCGGGGUCCAACAACCAAAAAAAAAAUUUAAACAGUCCACUUAUAUCAGCCAUCAUCCUAUAUCCCUAAGCAGUAGUGGAGUAGGCUGAAGAUUACAGAUCUUGCCUCCCUGAAGUUGUAGUGGAACAGAUUGAAGACGGUGAGCCUUAACCCCCUAAGCAGUAGGGUAACAGGCUGAAUUACGGAUCUUGUCUCCCUAAGCAGUAGUGGAGCAGGUUGAAAUCAACAAUUCGUAUCUCCUUCAAUGGAGUAGAUUGAGGCUAUAAAUCUCUUCUCCCCGAAAUGGCGUUAAAGCAGCUCGAAGCCACAGCAGAUCUCCUUGAAGUUCCAGUAGAGUAAAUCGAAGCUACAAAUCUCUUCUCCCUAAAAUGGCACUGGAGAGGCUCGAAGCCAGCAUUCGUAUCUCCUUGAAGUUCCAGCGGAGUAGAUCAAAGCUACCAAUCUCUUCUCCCUGAAAUGACACUAGAGAGGCUCGAAGCCACCAUUCGUAUCUCUUUGAAGUUCCAGCAGAGUAGAUCGAAGCUACCAAUCUCUUCUCCCUAAAAUGGCACUGGAAAGGCUUGAAGCCACCAUUCGUAUCUUCUUAAAGUUUAGCGGAGUAGAUCGAAGCUACCAAUCUCUUCUCCCUGAAAUGGCAUAGGAGCGAUCAAAAUCACAAACCUUACCUCCCUGAAGUUACAGUGGGGCAGGUCGAAGUUACAGGUCUUAUCUCCCUGAAGUCGCAGUGGAGUAGACUGAAUAUAGUGGAUCUUAUUUCCCUGAAGUUGCAGUGGGAUAGACUAAAAAGCUACGAGUUACAAAUCUAUACCUCUGAAAUUACAGUGGGUUAGAACGAGGCUACUUGAAGAAGAGGAGCACCAAAGAAGUCGAGACUCGGUAGGUCUAGGCAAAUUUGGCCCUCUUAAGGUCUUUGCUCCGUUCUCGUUACACGACAACGAGCAAAGAAGGGCAGCUGUAGAGGCCCAAAUUUUCCCGGGGCCCAACAACCAAAAAAAAAUUUAAACUGUCCACUUACAUCAGCCCAAAUAAAAACUAAAUAAACUUAAACCCAACUAAGCCCACUACCCAAACCAACCCUAUAGCCCACAACCUAAACAUCCCAUCAGCUGAGCAAAAAACCCUAGUCCCAUGUGCGUCGUACCCCUCUACUGGCCACUCCUGCAGCACGCCACCGUCCCAUCACCUGCACCUCCAAAGAUCUGCUAACACGCAACAAAAAGAAAGCAAGACAGACGUAAAUGACAGCAUAAACAGUAGCAAAUAAUAGCAAAGACCAAGUGUAAUAUUAGGCUAUAAAAGCCUCAAAAAAUCGUUGUAAAAUGGAGGGGAUUUUGAAAAAAAAAAUUCGAAAAUUGUGAAUGUAAAAUCAGCAUUUUCAAACAUAUAUUUGAAUACAAAAAAAAAACAACAACAAGUAUUGAAGAAAAAAAACAGAUUCGAACGCGUUAAGGUCUCAUUUCUUUUUUCUUUUUAUUUUCAUUUUUCGAUUACACAUACAAACGUAUUUUCUCUUUUUUUUUCUUUCAAAAAAAAAUAUAUUUAUAUAUAAAUAUAGCAAAAUAAAAAAAUAAAAAAUUUUGCCUUUUUUAUUUCCGACCACCGUGUACGGUGGUCGACAAUGGCAGAGCCACGGCGGCCGGUGGUCAGUUCGAUGACGGGAAAUCGCAAAGGGGGAGAGGGAAUGAGAGAGUUCUCUCAUAUUUUUUUUUGGAGAAUGCUGAAAUGAAAUUUUAAAAAAAAAAUUGGGGCUUUUAUAACAUGUAUAAAACGAUGUUGUUUUGGCUUAGUGCCUACUGACACAAAACGGCGUCGUUUUGGAGUAAAAUGGGUCGACCCGACCCACUCCAAUUAGGAUCCGCGUGUUUUUGUUGAAACGGGCUAUUUGCGCACUAGCCCCUUCCGCUUUCAUGGCCGGUUGCGAUUUAGUCCCAAUUCUUUUUUUUCCUUUUUUAAUUUUGCCCAUGUAAUUUUAUUUUUAUUUUAUUUUGGCCCCCUGCAGAACGGUGUGUUUAUAAGGCCUGGGAUAAUCUUCCCGAUGAUCCCCACACCUUGUUGCGCAUUCCAUUUUAGUCCUUAAGCCUGUUUUAAUUAUUUUAUUAUUUAUAUUUUAACCCUUUUAUUAUUUAUUUAUUUCAAUUUGCCUUCUUAAUUUUAUUUAAGUUAUAAUUGAGCCCUCUUAUUUUUAAUUCAUUUAUUUAUCAAUUUAUCUAUUUACAUGUUUAGUUAUAUAUUAUUCUUUUUUAUUUUAUUAUUCAUUCAUUUUCCUAUUUAUAUACUAUUCAAUCACUCAUUUUACUAUUAUUUAAGAUUUUCAAUUUCAUUUUAAUUUCAGUUUACCUUUUUUAAUUCUGUUUAAGUUUCAAUUCUGUCCUUUGGUUAUUCAUGUUUAUUUUCUUUAUAUUUUCUUUAUUGUUUAUUAUCCUUUUAAAUACCUAGGUUUAAUAUUAUUUAUAUUCUUUUACUUUUAAAAUACUUAACAUUACUGUUAUGUAUAUAUUUUUUUUAUUUUUGUACAAAAUUUCAUCAUUUGUCAUUAUUCUUAUUUUUUUCUCGUUGCUUAUUUAUUUCUUUACUUAUUUUUAUACCUUUAUAUUUUAUUUCUUUUUCUUCAUCACGCAUGUUCAAUUUUAUUUUAAUCAUUUAUUAUUACUAUUACUUUUAUUAUUAUUACUGUUUCUAUUAUUGUUUUUCUAUUAUUAUUUAUGUUAUUGUUGGCACUAUUCUUUAUUUUAUUAUUAUUAUUUUUUAUUAUUUUAUCAUUACUUUCUAUUAUUGUUAUUAUUAAUAUACUAUUAUUAUUCUUAUUAACCUAUUAUUAUUAUUAUUAUUUUCUACUUUAUUAUUAUAUUAUUACUAUUGCUAUCAUCAUCUUAUUAAACUAAUUAAUUUUACAUUGAUUUUGUCACAUUAUAUAUAUAUUUUUGUAUUUAUUUACAUUAUUAUUGCUAUUACUACUAUUAUUAUUAUUAUUAUUUUUGAGCAGCAUAUAUUAUAUUAUUAUCAAUUUUAAAUAUUUUACAUAUGUUAUUUCUUUUAAAUUAUUAUACGUAUUAUUUAUUUUGAAAUUUUUAUAUACAUCUUUGUAUUUUAAAUUAUUAUGUAUAUAUACAUAUAUAUUAUUUAUCUUAAAUUUCUUAUAUGUUAUUUAGUUAUAUCGUUUUAUAUGAUAACUGUGUUAAAUUCUUUUUAUUAUUUAUUAUAAAUCUUUCUACUACUAUUAAUUUUAAAAUUUCAUAUGUUAUUUAUAUCAAACUUUUGUACAUAUCUUCUAUAUGUUAAUUAUUCUAAAUUAUUAUUUUUUUACCAUAUUAUUUAUUCUAAACUUUUAUAUGCAAUUUUAAAUCAUUUUUUAAUUAUUAUUUUAAGUUAUUCUAUUUAUAUUAUUUUGUUAUCUUGUAUAUUAAUGAUUUUAAAUUGAUUGAUAUCAUUUACUUUAAAUUAUUUUUCAUAGUGUCUAUUUCAAGCUUGUUUUUUUCUACAUAUUAUUCGUCUAGAAUCAUCUUAUUGCUUAUUUUUUAUUGUUCGUUUUAUUCAUUACAUUUCACUUUAUUUAUUAAUAUUUAAAUAAUGUAUGUUGAGUGAUUAUUGUCAUUGUAUGUGCUAUAAUUCGUUCACUUAUUUUCAUACUAUUGUCACUCAUUUGUAUAGUAUUUUAUCCAUAUGUAUUGUUCCAUGUUUGUAAUUUCGCCUUUCAUUCGUAAUUGUCGCAUUGUAAUUUUCAAUUUAUUGAUCCGAAAUUCAUGAUUCUAUUUCAUUCCAAGUCAAAUUAAUGUCUUUUGGGUUGACUUUAUAAAACAAAAGCGAUGUUUGAUGUUUAAAAAUUUGAGGAAUCGUAACCUAUCGUGCUGGGUUGUAAUUUCUCGUUUGUUCAAAAUGAUCGAAUAUUCUUUUGGAAUUUCACACAUGUUUUAAAAAUUCUUUAAAACGAAGGUAACGUUUGAAGCUUGGAAAUUCGGGAAAUCGUGCCUUAUCGUGCUGGGUUGCAAUUUCCCGUUUGUUCAAAUAAUCGAAUAGUCCUUUAGAAUUUCACUCAUGUUUUCUAAAUUCUAAAACAAGACAAUGUUCAACGUUUGGGAAUCAGAGAAAACGUGCCCUACGUGCUGGGUUUUGAUUUACCGUUUGACUAAACAACCGAAUAUCCUUUUAAAAAAUUUCAAUGCAUGAGUUUUGGAAAUCAUGAGAUGAUUUUGGGUAUUGAAGGUUUGAAAUGUCGUGUCCUACGUGUUGAAUGAGAUAUUUUACUUCUUCGAAAAAAAGAGAAUCUUAAUAUCCACUUGAGGUUAUCCAAACAUUCAUAAAAAGGGAUCGUAUUUCAAAAUUUAUUUUAAUUUUUUUCAAUUUUCGACAUUAAGAUAUUAAUUAAUCAAUUAGGUACCAAUUUUGGGCCUUACGAGGGUGCUAAUCCUUCCUCGCACGUAACCGACUCCCUAACCCGUUUUCUAAAAUUUCGUAGACCAAAAUCGUUGUUUUAGUAAACCAAUGUUUUAUUAAAAUGACCAAACUUCUUGGUGAUCCAAUCACAUCUAAACAAAAAAAAUUGGUGGCGACUCCCAAUUUUCGUUUUCUUUUCAAAAUAUAAAAUCGAUCCCCGUUUUUUUCAAAAAAAUGGUUUCCACAACCAUAAUUAAUACGAGCUAAUUAGGCUACCAUUUCAACACAAAAAUUAAUAUAGACAACUUGGGUUAAUUAAAUUCCAAUUUUGAUAUAGCUUACUCCUCCAUUUGUAAUUUCCAAUGAUGUUUCCAAAAACAAAGAACCUUCUCAUUUACAGCUAACGGGAAAGAAUUUGUCCUUCCCUCACCAAAUAAGUAAUUAGAUGUUGGGCGAGCCAAAUUUGACUAACAGCUUUUAAGUGCUGGCUGGGGUUAGAUCACUAGGCUAGGAUAUCUCUAUUUGAGGAUUAGGCCGAAGCAUGCAGUUAACUCAAAUUUUAUUUAUAUUUUCUACUUUUUCAUAUAAAAUAAUCAUUUAAUUAUAGUAUUUGAAGAUUUGAUUGAUAGAAUUUGUAAAUGUGAAGAAUUAUUUUUUUAAUUAUUUAGAAUUAAGAUUAAAUUGAUAAAAUUUAUAAUUAUUGAUGAUUAAAUAUGUUAAUAUACCAGUUAGAAACUGUCACGUCAUCAUUUCCUUUAACCAUUUAAUGGGGAGUGACCAAAAUAGAAACAAUCUAAAAUGCUGGUAACAAAAUUAAAAUUUUUUAUAGUUUGGUGACCAAAACAUUUUACACAAAUAGUUUGAUGACUAAUAGUAUAGUUUCCCUUUAUUUUAUUUUUAUUUAUGUUAUUUUUAAUAAUUAGAUUUGUGAAAUUAAAAGUCAUUGCGACUAAUAUAAAAUGCGAAAGUAUUUUUUUAUUUAUUUAAAACACAUAAAAAAAUGAGAAACCUAAGAAGACAAAUAAAAAUAUGUAUUUUAAAUUUCUUUAUGAGCCAAUAAAGAAGAAAGAGAAAAAUGGAAGGAAAAAAUCUUAUUAAAAUAUAAAAUAAAAUAGCUCAAUAAUUUUAUAAUUUAUUUUAAUUAAAAUAUUUAUUAUAAUAUAAAUUAUUAUUUAUAUUUAUAUUUAUAUUUUUUUAACAAAUAUUUAUAUUUAUAUAAAAGAGAAAGGAAAUAAUUAGAAUUUUUUUAUACAUUAAUACAAACAUAUAAUAUAAUAAUUAUUUAGUAAUAUAAAAAAUAUUUUUUAUCUAUAGAAAAGAGAAGAGCCCGUAGUUAAAAUAUAAAAAUUAUUUUAAUUAUAACAUAAUUUAUAUAUUUCUAUUUUUAUUUAUAUAAGAAAAUAAAGAAUAAAAGAAAAAAUAAGAAUUGAAAAAAAAAUAAAGAAGUAGGCAAGGGUGAAUAAAACUCGAUUCGAAAAAUUAUUCUUUUUUGAAAAUUCAAGUUAUUUAUUUGUUUUUAAUCAAUUCAAAUAAGUUAUUUAGUUUUUUGAGUUCACAGUCAAGGUAAAUUUUACAACUUAAAUAAUAAAUUGAUUUAAAUACUCAUUGGAUCCUUGAUAGUUUUGAAAAAAAAUUACAAAUUGGUCCAUUUUCAAAAAAAAUUAAAAAUAUUUAUAAAUUUUUUUUUCUAAAAUUUUAUAAAAAUAUGUAUAAAUUGAAAAAAAAUUAUUUAAAUUCUUAAUAUAUAAAAUUUUAUAUAUUAUUUAUGAAUUAUUUAUAAAAUAUUUUUUUCUAAAAUUUUAUAAAAAUAUGUACAAAUUGAAAAAUAAUUAUUUAAAUUCUUAAUAUAUAUAAUGAUAAAUUAUAAUUUUUAAAUAAAUUUCUAGUAUGAUAAAUUUGAUGCAUUAAACAAGUAAUUAUCAAAUCAAGUUUAUCAUAGUAUCUAUCUUGUUUUGUUCUCUUAUUUUAUUUUAAUGAUUUUUUCAAAUGUAUAUUAUUUAUUUAUGUUCUUCAACUCAAAAUUUAAUCAUAUUGUCGACAAAAUUUCAAUUUAAUUAGUUUAAUUUUAUUUUUCUAAUUUAAUAAAUAAAUUUAUUCGAUUCAACUCAACUCGAAUUUCAUCUGACUUUAUUCAAAUAAAAAAAAUAAAUCGAGUUAAAAUAAUUGAAUACAACUCAUUAAUUCGUUUAAGUCGGAAUCUGACUUUAUUCAAAUAAAAAAAAUAAAUCAAGUUAAAAUAAUUGAAUACAACUCAUUAAUUCGUUUAAGUCGGAAAUUUCCCAAGAAGUAUGAAAAAGAAAACUGGUUAAGAAAGCUCUAUUUAAUUUCUUAAUCAUUUUGCUUCCUCGUUCACACUAUCGGUUGCCAUUUACUUCAAAACUUUUGACCAUGAAAUUUCGCAGCGAAAAUUUUGCUGUAUUCCUCAGCUAAACACGAAGACUAAAAGUCUACCUUUUCUAUCUAUAUAUUGUUGUUUCCUUAUUAACUGCAAUUGACAGACCAUACACCAAGUCUUUAAUCUUUCAACUAAUUGCUGUAAGUGCCGUUUGAUCCUUCCUUUGGAGAUGGAUGAAAGGUUGAGAACAGCUGGUCGUGCAGGAAAUGUUAGUGAUGUGUAUACAUUAAUUCAGAGAGAUGGAAAUGCUUUGAGGUGUUUUGAUGAAGUGGAGUUUAUCGAAACUCCGCUACACGUAGCUGCAGAAGAAGGAUGCAUUGGGUUUGCAAUGGAGAUGAUGAACUUAAAGCCAUCAUUUGCCAGGAAGCUAAACCAACAAGGUUUGAGCCCAGUUCACAUUGCAGUUAAAAGAGGGCAUAAAGAGAUGGUGCUCCGUUUCCUAGAGAUUGAUAAAGAUCUUGCUCAUGUCAAAGGGAGGAAGGGUAAGAUUCCAUUGCACUUCUUAAGUAAAGCUGGAAACCCUGAUGGCUUGGUCGAUAGGUUUCUUGAGGUUUGUCCCGAAAGCAUCAGAAAUGUUACAACUACGAAUCGUACUGCUUUGCAUAUCGCUGCAGAAAGGAAUAGACUGGAUGUUUUCCAAGUUCUAAUCCAAACGCUUAAGAAGCAAAACUACUGUCAAGAAGUGGUGAACAGGAAAGACGAAGAUGGCAACACUGCACUGCACAUAGCUGCUAUCAAUAAUCAACCCCAGGUUCGAUCCAUCAUCUCUUAUAUAUAAUUAAUAUUACAUGGAUUGUUUUGUAUUUCAUGGUUGGCUAAUUGUUGCUUCUCUUUUUUAAUAUCUCAAAUUAUUGAUUAAAUAGAUGCUCAAACUACUACUAGAAUGCAAAGCUGAUAAGCAUGAGACUAAUGAGGCUGGUUUGACUGCACUGGAGGCAGCGCAUCAAAAGAACAAUAUAGAAAGCAUUAGCAUUCUGCGAGAAGUUUCAAACUUUAGGUAUAAGUUGAAGAAACAAAUUGACAAGUAUGGGUCAAAGGUAUCGUCAUUAAUCUUUGACAAUAUAGACAAUAUAUCAGGCGAGGACCGCAGUGGCUUACUAGUAAUUUUAGGACUGCUUCUAACAACAACCUACCAAGUCACUCUUAGCCCGCCGGGUUGAGUUUGGCAAGGAGAAGAUCGCUUUGAAAUUAAUAAUACACCGGGGAAAUCAGUCAUGAACCAAACCACCUUUCUUAAUUUCUUUGUGCCAACAUAUGUUGUGUUUAUCGCAACGUUUUUUUUAACGUUAGCCCUCCUUAAACCUUUUCCCGUUGGUUUCAGGACAACACUUCAAAUACUACUUGCAUUUUUGGCAAUAUGCUUCCAUCAGUCAAUAAGUUUUAUAGCUCCAACAGAUUUAGCAAGAUAUUUCAUCUAUAUGUUUUCGACGUUCUUUGUUUUCUUAUUGGUGUUGAUGGGUAUUGCUUAUCGGGCGUCGAAAUUCAUCACUUCAAUUCUGGGAUUUUAGUUAUUCCCAUGGUUAUUCUUUCUUCUGUAUGAUGAAUUUUGGGUAGGAACCAUUAUAAUUAUAGGAUAUUGUUUAUACUCCACGAUUGAAUUCUUAGAAUUUGGUAGUGCUCCUUCCCUCUUAGGCACUCGUAUUCCUCGCUCGUUAAGCGAUGGUACUCCUUCCUCGUUAGACGUUGGUACUCUUUCCUCGUUGAUUGAUUUUAGUAUGGGCUUAUGGUGCUGGUUGUUGAUUAGUCUAUGUAGGUUCUGCAUAAAAAGAUAUUGUACAUGUUGUAAUUCUUGAAUAAUCAGAUUUAUAAUUAUUCUUUUUUUCGACUUACUUAUAUUAUAUCCGUUUAUCAUAUAAUAUUUGCUUAAUACAUCUUUAAUAUAUUUAAUGAUUGAAAUUUUUUAUCGGUAACUCAUCACCGAUAAUACCUUUCACAACAAUAAUUAAUACCUUUAAAAAAAGUCAUAAAGAUAAAUUUAGUCCCUAACAUUUAAAUUUUAGUCAAUUUCUUGUUUUUUUUACGGAAAAACUAAUUGGACUAUUAAAAUUUUAAUAGCACUAACGUGACAGCUCAUGUGGGCAUUUUACGUAUACUUCGUUGGUAAUAUGGAUAAAUUUUCUAAAAGAUUUUAUGAACUUUUUUUAAAUUUGUUGAUUUUUUAAAAAUAUUUAUUAUUAUUUUUAAAUUUUUAUUAAUUAUAUGUAGAUUGUCACAUUAGUGGCAACAUUAAUGUCAUUAAAAUUUUAAUAGUUUAACAGUUUUUCAUCCAAAAGCAAGUAAUUUAAAUAAAUUUUAAAGGUUAAUAAUCAAAAUGACCCAAAAAAAGGGCCAAAAUGAUAAAAUGAGUAAACACUAAAAACUAAAUUUAUUAUUAUACCAAAAAAAUAUCAAUUUCUAUUUCAUUACUCAAAAAUACAUAAAAAAAGGCUUUUUUCUAUGAAUAUAAGGGUUUUUUUAAUCAAUUCUCAAAAUUCAUAUAACUAUAUUUUGGUAUUCUAAAAAUUCCUAAAAUAAAGUACACUAGAUUCAUGUUGACAUCUAUUAAGUAUAGAGAUCCCAUUAAAUUUAAUUUAGACACCUCAACUAUUAAAAUUAACGCCACCUUAACAUUUAUGGGUAUUGAAGUCGAGUAAAAAAUAUUGAUUUAAAUAUUUAUUUCACUUAGGUCUAAUUAUUUUAUUCAUUGAAGGAGCCUCAACUUCUAUGAUUAUUGAGGUCUCACGCAAUAAAAUACCAUACUUGCAUACUUUUGGGCAAUAUUUGGUGUUUUUUAAAUAUUAUGAUUCUAAUGAAAUUUGGUUUCUUGAAAUGUCAUUAUUAGGAAUGUGAUUGUCGGAAAAGUCAAUUUACAACAUUUAGUAUAUAUUGGAAGUAUUGAUUAAAAUCACAAAAAAAUUAUAUUGUUAUAUUUGGUUCACUAAGUACCUUCUUAUGAAUGUAAUGAUAAUUUAUGAAUUUACCCUUAUUAAAUAAAAGUUAAUACUUAUCUCUUUAAUUUUUAUAAUAAAUUUUAUUCUUAAUAAAUAUUUGGAUUAAAUAUUUAAUAAUAAAAUUUAAUUGAUAAUUUCUAAAUUAUUUUUAAUUUCUAAUUUUAAUUGAAAAAAAUUGUUUCAAAUUUGUCUUGCAUAUAUUUUCUAAAUAUAAUAAUGCAUAUAUAAAACUUAUUUUGGAAUAAAUUUUAAAAAUACUUGAAAAUUUCGUUUGUUUUAACUAAAGGCUAACCCAUAGGAAUAUAUAUAUAAAGAGUUGAUUCUAGGUAUUGUUCUAAGCAAAACUAAAAAUAAUUAAAUCAUAAAAAUGUAAAAUCAUAGGCGGUCUAACCCACAAUUUCUACACAGCUUAAAUGGAACAAUUUUACUCAUAUUUUACAAAAAAACUAACAAAUAUUUUGUACAAAUACAAGUGUUAAAUCAAAUUUGUAGCUAGAAAAAAAAUAAAAUCAAUGAAUAAAACUUAUUUGCGAAAAAUUUGUUGAAGUAAUACAGAAAAUCAAGUGAUAGGAAUGAGGAAGGAGGCAAUAGCUUUUCCUUUUUUCUAAGUAGAAUGUACUAAACUAAUAUAAAAUAGGGUUAAUUUUGUCUUUUUAUUUUAACUUUUCAAUGUACAUGAAAAAAUAGUUCUCUCGCCUUUUAUCAUAAGAAUUACAUUGCCAUAUUUAUGGAAAAGUAAUUUUCAAGGGAAUGUUAUAUUCUAAGGAAAGUAAAUAAAACUUAACAUACCAAAUGUUGAAAUUAUUUUUCAACUGAUUAAAUUUCCAAAAAAAUUACUAUUUUUCAUCAUACCAAACACUACCAUAUUGUCACACAAAAUGCGAAAUUCUUAAAAAACAAAAUUCUCAACUUUCUCCUUUCUAUUUUAACCUAAAUUAUCUUUUUUUGGUGUCAUUCUUUAAUGGCUUCGCUGAUGUUUCAACGUCAACACAUAAUUGCCUGAAAUGUAAACAUGGUAAAAUUACACAUUUUUUUUAAAAUUUUGUUAUUAUUAGUUUUUGUUAUAAAAUUAUUUCUAAAUUAUAAAAAAUUAAAAAUUAUAUUUUGUGAAUUUUUUUAUUAAGAUACACAUCAAACUAUUCAAACCCAACAUAAUUUUCUUUCUAAUAAGCCCGAUAAACAUAUUGACUGUUACUUAGAGAGGGCCAAUUUAUCGGUGGCAACUAAAAUGACUGGUCGAAAUUGAUGUAAUUUGAAAUUUUAAAAUUUUAAUUGAAUAUGUUUUGAACGUAGGUAUUUAAUUAAUUUUAUUGGUAGUGGUUACAUACCCUUUAGCCUUAUUUUUAUUUACAUCUAACAUUUCUAAUGAUUUUGUGAUCCGUACACUUACAAAAUAUUAAAUAUAAACCUUUCUAAAAAACUUAUAUUAAUUGAGCAUUACUUUAGUCUGGAACACCUUCAAUUUUAUAUUUAUUAAAAAUAAUAUUCUGAACUUUUAUAAAAUUACAAGUGAAGUGAUAUUUAUCUGGCUGCACCAAAAGAAUUUUAUUAUAAUAAAUAUGCAUAUUUCUUGAGAUUUUUUAUUAUAGUAUGAAUUAUGAAACCAUGACAUAAUUUUAUUUUGAAUUUAACAGAAUAUUCUUAAUUAAUUAUUAAAUAACUUUAAGUGGCGCACAUUGUCAGCAGAUCCCUAGUGUUAUAAUCAUGACUAUAACUGAUUUUUAUAGAGCUUCCUUCUAUUUUUCACAAUAAUUUGACUCAUUAGCCUUUGCAUAAAAGACCAAAAAGAAGCUCCCUCCUUCACCCUUUUGGCUCAGACUUUUGACAAUGAAAAUAUCUGAGGCAUACUUCAAUUUGGAAAACACUCAAAUCAAUGGAAGAAAGUACAACCUUAAAUUUUACGGCACUCGAAGACCAAGACCAAAAAGAUAUACGUAUAUUUGGGUGCCCUUUCUAUCCGCAUGUUGUUUCUUUGUUGACUCCAAUACACAGACCAUACAUCACGUCUUUAGUCUUUUCAGCUAAUUACCGUAAGUGGGGGACUUGAUUAAACCCUUUCAGUUUCUCUCUUAUUGUCUAUCAAUCCUUCCUCCUAAGAUGGAUGAAAGUUUGAGAACAGCUGCUCGUACAGGAAAUGUUAGUGAUUUGUAUUCAUUAAUUCAAAGAAAUGGAAAUGUUUUGAGGAGUUUUGAUGAAGUGGAGUUUAUGGAAACUCCAUUACACGUAGCUGCAGAAGAAGGAUGCAUUGGGUUUGCAAUGGAGAUGAUGAACUUAAAGCCAUCAUUUGCCAGGAAGCUAAACCAACAAGGUUUGAGCCCAAUUCACAUUGCGGUUAAAAAAGGGCAUAAAGAGAUGGUGCUACGCUUCCUAGAGAUUGAUAAAGAUCUUGUUUGUGUCAAAGGGAAGAAGGGUAAGACUCCCUUGCACUUGAUAAGUAAAGUUGGAAACCCUGAUGGCUUGGUCGAUAGGUUUUUGGAGGUUUGUCCCCAAAGUGUCAAAAACGUUACAACUAGGAAUCGUACUGCUUUGCAUAUUGCAGCGGAAAAGAAUAGAUUGGACUCUUUCCAAGUUCCAAUUCGAACACUUAAAAAGAAAGACUACUGUCAAGAAGUAGUGAACAGGAAAGACGAAGAUGGCAAUACUGCACUGCACAUAGCUGCUAUCAAUAAUCAACCCCAGGUUCGAUCCAUCAUCUCUUGUAUAUAAUUAAUAUUACAUGGAUUGUUUUGUAUGUCAUGGUUGAUUGGUUGUUGCUUCUCUUUUUUAAUAUCUCAAAUUAUUGACUAAAUAGAUGCUCAAACUACUACUAGAAUGCAAAGCUGAUAAGCAUGAGACCAAUGAGGCUGGUUUGACGACACUGGAGGCAGCGCAUCAACAGAACAAUAUUGAAAGCAUUAGCAUUCUGCGUGAUUGCUUUAGUCCACGAGUUUCCAACUUUAAAUAUAAGUUGAAGAAACAAAUUGGCAAGUAUGUGGCAAAGGCAUCAUCGUUAAUCUUUGAUGAUGUAGACAAUAUAUCAAGCGAGGACCGCAGUACCUUACUAAUAAUUUUAGGACUGCUUCUAACGGCAUCGUUCCAAGUGACUAUUAGCCCGCCAGGUGGUGUUUUGCAAGGAGAAAAUUUCUCAAAGUCCAAAGGAUCAUUUGAUGCAAAUGCACCGGGGAGAUCAGUCUUGGGUGCAGUUAACUAUCUUCGUUUCUUUGUUCCAACUUAUUUUGUGUUUAUGACAGCAUUUUUCUUAACAUUAGCCCUCCUUAAACCUUUUCCCAUUGGUUUCAGGACUGCACUUCAAAUAUUGCUUGCAGUUUUCGCAUUAUGCUUCCAUCUAUCAAUAAGUUUCAUAGCGCCAACUUUUUUAGCAGUGAUUAUUAUCUCUAUAGUUUCGAUGUUAUUUGGUCUUUUGUUGGUGUUGAUGGGCAUCACUAAUCGGGUGUCAAAACUCAGCAUUUCAAUUCUGGGAUUUGGGUUAUGCCCAUGGUUAUUAAUUUUUCUCUUAAAUGAAUUUUGGGAAGGAACAAUUUUAAUUGUAGGAUAUUGUUUAUACUUCAUGAUAGUAUUCUUAGGCGGUAGUGAUCCUCGGCCGUUGAUUGCGUGUAGUAUAUUCUUAGGAUGUUGGUUAUUCAUUAGUCUAUGUAGGUUCUGCAUAAAGCAAUGUUGUGCACGUUGCAACUCGUAAAAAAAUCAAAUUUAUAUUUAUUCUUAUUUUCAACCUACUUGAUUUCUGUCAAUUUAUUAUAGUAUUUUAAUUAGUAAAUUAGUUAAUACAAUAUAAUUUAAUUCAGCAAAUAACAUGAAUUGGUUACCAUUUUAUUAAUAUGUGAUUAUUAUUAUUAAUCAAAGAAUUCAUUUGUUGCAAAUCUGCAAUUAAAAAAAUAAAUUCAUUUAAUUUGUUUUAAAAAAUACAAUAAAUUAUUUCAAAUUUCAGAAACAAAACACGGUAAAUAUCUCAUAUUUUACCUACAAUAAAAAAAAUUGUUAGAUUACAAUAAUAAUAUAAUUAAAAUAAGUAUAAACUAUCUAAACAUAAAGACAUACAAAUUAAAAAAAAUAGAAAUAGAAACAUACCUGAUUAGUUUCAUUCAAACAACCUAUAAAAUUAUAUAACAACAAAUUUAAUCAAUAUUUUAAUAAAUCAAUAAAAAUUGUCAAAUAAAUAAAUAAUAAAAAAUUACAUUAAAAAAUACAAAACACUAAACUAAACACUAACAAUUUAUAUAACCUAAUCAUAAACUACUAACAAAAUAACUAUAAAAUUAUUUUUUUUAAAAAUUACAUUACUAAAAAAUCACGAUACCCUAAACCACUAAACACUAACAAUUUGUAAUCUAAUCCCAUAAAUUAUUAAUAAAAUAAAUAACUAUAACAAAACACAAACACUAAAAUUUAUAACACAAUCAAAAGCUACUAACAAAAUAACUAUACAAUUAUUUUUUUUAAAAGAUUACAUUACUAAAAACUCACAAAACAUAACAAUUUAUAACAUAAUCCUAAAUUAAAAGUAUAGAGAUCCCAUUAAAUUUAAUUCAGACACCUCAACUAUUAAAAUUAAUGCCACUUGACAUUUACAAGUAUUGAAGUCGAGUCAAACUAAAUAUUUAUUUCAUGUAGGACCAAUCAUUUUAUUCAAUUGAAGGAGCCUCAACUUGCAUGAGUAUUGAGGUCUCACCCAAUAAUAUAUCAUACUCAGCAUUCUUUUAGGUAAUAUUUGGUAUUUUUUUCAUAUUAUGAUUUUAAUGAAAUAUGAUUUUUUGAAAUGUCAUUAUUAGGAAUGUGAUUGUCGGAAAAGUCAAUUUACAACAUUUAGUAUAUAUUGGAAGUAUUGUUAAAAAAAAAAGGUUUUAAAGUCAUGUAUUGACUUUGAAAAAAAGCUAUGAUAAAUAGAAAAUAUGUUGUCUAGUUUUACCAAGGAACUCAAGGCCUCUUUACAACAACUUACUUGAUGAAAAAUACAUGAUGCCUGGUUUCAUAUUUUUGGUGAUUGUGAAAUUAAUUUCUUGGAUAUCAAGAAAUAAAUAAAGUAGUUAAAUAUAAAAUAGUAUGAUAAGAAAAGAUAAACUGAUCACUGUAAUUUGAUAAUAAUAAAAAGGAUAUCCUUGAUAGCAUUCUUUUGUGAAAGAAUGAGUAAUUGAACAUAGUGAUGAUGUUGGUUUUGUGAAUUUUUAAGACACAAAUAAAUAUAAAGUUUCACCAUGUGAUAUAGAUAAUUAACAUAACUAUGUUGAAAUUUUAAAAAUUUAGGGAUGAUAUAUAAGCUUAUAAUAUUUGAGUCACCGAUGAUAGAAACUCAACUCAACGCUUGGUAUAACAUUCACUACAACAAAUUUGAUUUUUAUCGGCGUUUUUUUAGGCUUUUAGCGGCGUUUUUACAAGCGCCGCAAAAAACGCCGUUAUAGAUCACGCCGCUAAAAGUCAUGAUCUUUAACGGCGCUUUAUCCACAGACGCCGCUAAAGGUCAUGAUCUUUAGCGGCGCUUUUUCCACAAACGGCGUUAAAAUUCAUGGCCUUUAGCGGCGCUUUUUCCAUAAACGCCGUUAAAAGUCAUGGCCUUUAGCGGCACUUUUUUCACAAACGCCGCUAAAAGUCAUGGCCUUUAGUGGCGCAUUUAGCGGCGCUUUUCCCAAAAACGCCGCUAAAGGUCAUAAAAUUUUUAAAAAAAUAAAAUGUUAUAAAAGUAUUAUAAAGUCAUGAAAAAUAUAAAAAAAAAUUAAAAUUCAUUAUCAAAAUAUUGAGAAGAAUAAUGUCCAUAAUAUAAAUAUAAAAAAUUUCUAUUAAAAUUCAUUAUUAAAUAAAAAUAAAAAUAAAAAUAUAGAAUCAAAACUAAAAUAAAUAAUAAAAAUUAGAUUAAAUAUAAAUAUAAAUAAAAUACAACAAGUCCAAACAUAGCAUCUUGUUUGCGAACCUAAACAACACUGAAAAUGCAAAGGUCUUUUAUAAAAGACAAAUUGCUAAGUUUUGAACUAGGAAUUCUAAUACCUUGGAGGACAAUGCAAAGUUUAAACUUCAUAAACUACACUCUCAUUAAGACAAGAUGCCAAUGAAUCUACAAACAGAGGGGAAAAAUAUUAUAGAUUUGAAUAGUCUGAAAGUGCCUAAAGGAUUUUUGUACACUACUCCAGUCUAUUAAUGCAGAAGUCAUUGAAAAGGCUGUGCAUAAUAUGUACCUACAACAUACAAAAUAAUGUAACGUGAAACCCAAAUCCGUUAACUACAAAAUUACAGGAAAAGAGAGAACAACUUAAUAUUUCGGUUAAUUUGGUUUUUUUCUUUUUUCUUUUUUUAACGAAACAAAAUUAACCUUCAACAUUUUUCAAUGGAUAAUUCUACAUAUACAACCAAAAUAUCAAAACAAAUCAAAAUCUAGAAGCACCAUACAAUGAAGAUAUUAAUCACCAUCAGAUGUUAAAUUAACACAUACUAAAAGUUCAAAACAAAUAAAUGAAGGUAUAAAACUUAACAGGACUAAUCCUAACUAAUAACCAAAAUAGCAUUCAAAUAUCAAAUUUUCUUAAAAUCUCUUCUGUUAACCAAACUGAAUUUUUUAUGGUUAACCAAACAACCGAAUUUGGUCAGUUAAUUUAGCACAAAUGGUCAUCUGGUCUUUAAUCCCAGGUUUACAUCAUAGAGUUUCAUGCAUAUUUAUUCACAUGUUACAACAUUCACAUCGACUAUCAUAUUUGUAAUUCAUUUACCUCAUCAAAUAUCUAAUAAAACACACCUUCCGCCGUCUGUCAUUUGGCCACAAUAUAUAUAUACACAUCUCAUACAUAUCUCACAUUAGCCAUUUGGCUUUACCACAUAUCCAUCUCAUACACGUUUCGCAUUAGCCAUUUGGCUUUACCUCAUAUCCGUCUCAUACACAUUUCGCAUUAGCCAUUCGGCUUCGCCACAUAUAUACACUUCUACGUUCAUCACAUUGGCCAUUCUACCUUAUCACAUGUAUGCAUGUUCGUAUUCAUCACAUUGGCCAUUCGGCCUUAUCACAUAUUUGCAUGCUCACGUUCAUCACAUUGGCCAUUCGGCCUUAUCACACAUAUGCAUGUUCACGUUCAUCACAUUGGCCAUUCGACCUUAUCACAUAUGCAUGUUCACGUUCAUCACAUUGGCCAUUCGGCCUUAUCACAUAUGCAUGUUCACAUUCAUCUCAUACAAUCCUAAUCAAAAUAUAAUUUUUCAUGUAUUCACAUCACAAUUAUCCAAAUAUACUUCACAUACCACAUAUACUUUCACGUAUACACUUUGUCUUGGCUGAAUCCACGUCUAUCAUUCUCCAAUGAAUAAUUCAAUUUCAUGCCAUACUAUCAUUUCAUAUUCGAAUACUUAUAAACUUACAAUUUCACAAAUUUUAAUAUCAAAGAUCCAUCUAACACUCAUAUAUCAUUUUACAAUAUCACAAUUUAGAAUUCACGUAUGGGUUUAAUCAAUAGCUUGUGAGCAGCCAAAACAAGUUUCAUCCAUGUUUUCAACAUAACCACAAUUCUCUACAAGCAGUUUUUCCUGAGCAACAGUCGCUAAAUUAUUUGUAACUGGGACUACGAAAUUCCAAAUUAUGUGCCGUUAAUUUUCCAUGAAAAUAGACUCGUAUAUCCUCUAUCCACAAAAUUUUCAAAAUUUUUGGUUUGGCCAAUAAAUACUAGAUUUUUCUUAAAAUUUCCCCUGUUUUACUGUUUGACUAAUCUGACCACUCUUCACUACAAAUCAAAUAUCUCAUUGUACAGAAUUCAAAAUGUGUUCUAUUUGAUUUCAUUUGAAACUAGACUCAUUAAGGAGUCUAAGCAUAUAAAUUUUAUCUUAUAACCAUUUCUGUACAAAUUAUAAUGAUUUUCUAAAAACAGAACAGGGGAUUUCGGAGUCGUUCCGACACUGUCUCACACAACUUUAAAUAUCUCUUUAUAGGAAAUUUCUUUGCUCACACAGUCUCUUUUACAAGAAACUAGACUAAUUAAGAUUUGAUUACAUAUUUUAUUCAGCCUAUAAUUCCACACCAACAAUUUAUGGUGAUUUUCUAAAACCACGUUACUGCUGCUGUCCUAAGCAAAUUAUUACAAUUUGCUCUUAAAUUUCCAAGUCCAAACACUUAUAAACUUACCAUUUGAGUUUAAAACAUAUCAUGACCACAUCAUAUCUUAUUAAAUCGACUCAUUAUGUCCUAUUAUGAUUGAAUUUACUCAACAUUUAAUCACUUAAAACUUACCUCGGAAGUGGUCGACGACUAGAUAUCCACGGCUAUUUGUUUACUUUCUCUUUUCCCCCAUCCGACUUUGAUCCUCUUUGCUCUUAAGCUUAAGUAAAACAAUAGAUUUGCUUAAGUACUUAACCAAUAUUAUUCACUUAACUAUCACAUUGGGCAAUCACAUAUCAUUUAAUCUAUAUCUAAAACAAUAGAUUUCAAUAUGUAUCAUAUUCGAUAAAACAUACCAUGACUCGAUUUCAUGCUUAUUUAAUUUAGCUAAUUUCAUAGCCGAUUAAUCACCUUACCCCAACAUUACUCAAUGCCGAAUAUUAACCCAACAUCACAAGCAUAAUCACCAUGAAACUUACCUUGAUACACAUUUUAUCCCAUUGCCGAAUACAUAUAUAUAUCACCAAACAAAUUUUUAUUCACAUCUCUAUAAUUGAUCAUAAUCGGACAUUAUAAACAAAUCAACUAGUUUAGCAUUCAAAUUCUUCUAAUCAUUCCUCAAUCACUUACUCAAUGAACAAUAAUCCAAGCACAUCAAAGCAUAGUCGAAUGUAUCAUUCUUCUUAAAUUCAUAUUCGAACACUCAAUUAAAUACUUACAAUUUAGCACUAAUUUGGCAUUUCAACAUAGCCAAUUGUCAUUAAGCAAUUAAGCCACAAAUAUUCAAUUUUACCAAGCUCAACUCAUCUAUAAUCAACCCUCAAUACACCUAAGCAUCAAAAACAACAUCAAAGAAAUACAAACAUCCAUGACCGAAUGUCAUCUUCAUAAAUUUACAAAAAUAUUUGCCAUGAGUUAGCUUCUAUACUUGAUGACCACUCCAAAUAUACAAAGACUUUCAAUGAAAGAGCAUUAACAUACCUCUUCCUAAACAUCAACCAACCCAUCAUGAAGCAAGAAAAUCCUCUUCUUCUUCCUUCCUCAAGUCACGGCAAUAGGGGGAGCAAGGAUGAGACAACUUUGUUUUCAUCACCCCUCCCUUUUUAUUACUUUAUUACUAACCUUUUAUUUUAUUAUUUCUAACAUAAAUCACUAACACAAAAAUGUUUAUAAUAGGCUUUAACCCAUAGCAUGGCCGGCCACUACUUGUCAUAGGUGGAAAUUUGACAUGCAAGCCCAUUAUUUUCAUAACAUGCACUAAUAGGUCCUUAUAGAUUAACCUAUCACCUUUUAAAAGUGCCACACAUAAGUCCUAUUAAUUAAAUUCACAUACAAUCGACUAAAUCGAAGCUUAAAACUUUCACACAUUUAUAUUCACAUAUUUUAGACAAUAAAUAUCAUAUUCAAAUACUUCGGUGACUCGGUUUAGCGGUCCCGAAACCACUUUCCGACUAGGGUCAAUUUGGGGCUGUCACAAACCCACUGAAAAAUUAAGGAAGCAGUGGUUUGAAAACUAAAAUAGAGACGAAAAAGGCAAAGACAAACUUGUUCUAAAGCUGAAAACCCUAAAAAAACCCACUGAAAUAGAAGUAGAUAAGAAUAGAUCAGAAAACUAAAAAAAGACAUGAAAAAGAAAAGACAAAGUUGUAGGAGUGACUCUCAGUUGCUCUUACGAAAAUUCUCUUCCUACUGUCCUGCGUGCGUGUUUUUGGCCUAUAGUGAAAAUUUUUGCUUCUAAUUGAUUGAUUCAAAUAUAUAUAUAAAUCAUAAUUAAUAUAAAAAUACAUAUAAAUUGUUAUGUUUAAUAUUUUAAUAUUUUUAUUAAAAAUAACAAUUUAACACUCAAUUUAACACUAAUUUGAAAAAAAUGUAAAUAUUAAAUGUCAAAUUUAUUAUUACCUAUAUAUUUUUAAUGCAAAUUUAUAAAUAAUUUUAUUGUUAGAAAAUUAAUAAAAUUUAUAUCUAAAAAUAUAAAAGAGAAAAUAACCUCAAAUUUUGAAUUUUAAAGAGAAAUGAAUAUUUAAAAUUAUUAUUUUUAAUUUUUAAUUUGAACUGAUAUUAUUUAAUUGAUUAAAUUGCAUCAAGCCUGCUUAUGGUGGAUCUGAUUUUUGAGCUUUGAAAUUAUAUUUAUUAGUUAAAUAAAGUUGAAACUAAUUCAAUAAAUUUUUCCUGCAAAAAGUUAUAACUUCUGUGGUUAAUUCUUUUAAAGUGGAAAUUCAAAGCACAUUAUACACUCUACACGAUUCAUGUUAUUUCCUCGCAUACCAGAUGCAGAAGAUGAAAACCCUGCAACAGGAUGACCUCUAUUUUCUCUCUUUUGUGCAGGUUCAUUAACCGUUAAUAUAUUGAUUCCCAAUGCAUUGAAGGAAAAAUUACUUUAUAUGGUAACCUUAAAGAUUAACUAUAUCUAAAGAAAGGUAAGAUGAAUUUACUAACCUCAAGAUCAGUAGCACCAUCACCAAUCAUGUCUAAUGCCUUGUAUCCCUUAACCUGGAAUUUUUUUUUGGUAGACUUGGAAAAUGAACUUUUAGCCGGCCAAUACAAAAAAGCCACAAGACUCACCUUUCUUAUUUGUUGAACAGCAGUAGCUUUUCCUCUACUCCUCGAAGUGAGCUCAUUAGCAUCGAAUCCCAAAAACUGUUUUCUUGCUGAAUUCCAAGGAUUGAUGCAACAGGCUACAAAAAUGCUUCUCAAUUAACUAUUUUCUGGCAGUAGUUGGCCAAUGGUUAACCAUUGGAAGAUUAUAUUAAUAUACAAUAACAUGGCUCUCUCAAUAGUAACGAACUUACAUGCUGUACAAUGACUCUUACUGAUGACAACAUUACCCAUAUCACACUUUCAUAAUUUUAUAUCUAAUUGGUUUUUCAGAAGUCACCAUUUGCUGCAUGUGUAAUAUCUAAUGUCAAGUAAGGAUUUCCAUUUCGUGUUUUCCAGUUUCCUACAUUCAAGUUUCUAUUUUCAAUAUCAUCAAAAUAUUGCAAGUGACUUCAGAUCUGCAUUUAUCAGAAGGGCAAACGAAACCACAUGAAUGCCUUAACAGAACAAAGUAAAACAGAGAUGGUCUUUCAAGCAUUUAGUAGCAUAGUUGCAUACAUUGAUCAUUUGGCGGAAGCCCUCAGAAAUUAGAUAAACAUCGGUAUUCCUUGCCUUCAGCUUCUUGACUAAUUCUUCAAUGCCAGGCGAAAUCCUAGAGAUCAGUAAGAAGAAUAAUGAACUAGGCUAUCAAACAUCAUGUCAAAGAGAAGAUUAAAAAGAAAGGCCAACAAGAAUAAAAAAUCGUUAAUUCAUUGAGGAGUUGAUGCCCUUCAGUAGUCAUUAUAACUUGUAUGGGAAUUAAGGAUUGUCAACCACAUAAAUGCUACCUAGAAUAUCAAACACAUUGAAGAAGAUGCCAAUAAGCAAGGCUGACAAUAUUUGAAUUGAAGAACUGGAGAAAUUUGAUAGCCAAGAUAACAAACCCUUCCUUUAUACUUCUUAUCACAUUACAAUCAACAAGUUAAUAUGUAAAAUUUUGGAGCAAUUUCCAAAGUAAGAGACAGACAAAAAGAGACCCGCAAGUCAAAGUUUCAUGUUUCAUGCAAAUCAAAGUUCUAAAACCUCAAGUCCAAGUACUGCAAUGAACAUAUAUUCCAUAUUUCAACUAAAUCCAAUGAAGAAAAAACCCUUAAAUCAUAAAAAAACACAUACAUACACACACAGAGAAAUACCAAUUGGACUGAUAGUUGAUACUCUUUCAGUUGAGACCAAAACUGCUGGUCCUUGUACUUCUGGUUGCUCAUCCUAACAAAACAAAACAAAAACAUACACCUACUCAUCUCGUGCCCCAGAUAUUCUUUAAGAGCUUAGACUAUCAUUUAAUGGAAUAAGGAGAAGAAUCAUUCUACCUUAACAUUCGCCAAAGCAAUUAUAUAGUUUUAGAUGAACUAUUGCUGCCAAAAUUGUGCAAAUAUAAACCAAGCUCAAAAUCAGAAUCAAGAGAAAACAAAGGUGUACCAAUUUACGAGCUAAAAACAGACAGUAACUAUGAAAAUAUCAGCCACAGAACAUGCUUGUUAGAUAUAUCAAAAAUCAAUAAAUACUAUCUCAGUGCAAUGAUUUUAGAAUUAAAAAGAAAAUGAUAUCGAACAUAAAAGAUUUAAACAAAAAACAGAGAUGAUGCUGCCUCCAUCCGAUUCAGACAGAUCUAGCUUAGUCGAUAAAAAAUAAAUCUCAAACCCACAAAUACCCAUAAAGAUCUCAAUGAACACCAGAUCAAAACAUGCAGAUAUAUCAAAAGGCAAACAGAAACCCAAAAACCCAGUAUGGGAUCAAAAGAAAAUUUUUAUUAAAGAAAUCAAAUCUAAAGAAAAUGAAUAAAAGAAAGGUACCAAAUGACUAAAGAGGAUGACUUUAGAGCCAUGACCCAUCAAAUAGUUGAUGGUGGGAAUAGCAGCAUGGAUCCUUGUGUCAUCUGUAUGGAACGUUCAGAUCGACUCUAACAAACACUUUUUUUCCCUUCAAAUCAGCUUCCUUCAAGUCCCCAACACUCUUCUUUGUAGCCAUGGUAGUAGCACUUCUUCAACAACAACCAACCAUAUAAAAAACGCUACACCCGAAAAAAGGAUUAGAGAACCGAUCUGCAAAAUCAAUAAGAAAAUGGGAGUAUUCAAAGUGAGAGUACUUACGAAGAUGAGAGAGGCGGAUAUAUCUAGAUAGUGAAAAUAAACGAAGGAUCGAGAGAAAAACAAAGAGUAGCUAAAUUUUAUUUGGGGGAUUUAGGGCGAGCGACAUAGAUGAGAAGAAGAGGGAGUUUGGGAGUGAGCGGGAUUUUUUUGGAAGUGAGCGGGUAAGCAAAAUUAAGCUAUAAUGGCCUUUUUUUGGUAAAAUUGUGGCCUUUUGUGGCGUUUGCAAAACAAACGCCACUAUAACUCAAAUUUUUUGCUGCAUUUUUAAUAAAAACGCCACUAUAGCGUAAUUUUAAUUUUUUUUAUUUUAACAUAUUUUUUUAUUUUUUCUUUCAUAAUUUUUGUGCUGAGAUUACUAUUUUUUGGAAUUUUUUUUAAUUUUGAAUAUUAAACUUUUUAAUUGAAAUAUGGACUAAAAUAUUAAAUAUUAAAUAUUUAAGUUUUUUAAUUUUUAAUUUUUAAUUUUUAAUUUUUAAUUUUUUUUGAAGAUUUUUAUAACUUUUAAAUUAUUGUAUAAAAAACAAAAGGAAACUUCAACAGAAAUAAAAUGAAAUCGAUGAAUUAAAAAAAUAUAAAAUGACACAGCAAAUUUAAUUGUUUAUCAAAAUAAACGAGCCCUUGUAGCAGAAAAUGUGGUAGCUAGAAUAUGAUAUUCAAGUAAAAUAAGAUGAACAUGGUGAAUGUAGUUACUAACCUAAAAGUGAAGUCAGCCUUGUUCAGAGGAAUUGACAACCUCGUUGAAUUCACCAAAUAUAUUCGGACAGCAGAGGGGACACUCGACGGCUAUGCAGCAGAUGCACAGGGCGAAGGCGAUGGAGGAGAUGGGUUGCGACGCACGGGGCGAAGGCGAUGGAGGGGCUGGGUUGCGAUGCACGGGGCAAAGGCGAUGGAGGGAAUGGGUUGCGAUGCACGGGGCGAAGGCGACAAACGAAAACGUUUAAGUUAGAACUUUAUUUUGUUUGUAAUGAAACGGCGCCGUUCAAAUCGAAUUUUGAGAUUAACAUACUACCCAUGGCCAUUAAACCUUAAACCAUAAAACCCUAAACCAUAAACCUUAAAUCUUAAAUAUUAAACCCUAAACCCAAAAAUAAAUUUAAUCAAUAUUAAGUACUAUUGCUUCCAUAAAUUAUUAUGAACAUAAGCUUUUACAUUAAUAUCUAUGUAUAUACACAUCAACAUCCAUAUGAUGUUUUUUGGGGUUUAGGGUUUUAAAAGUUAUAGAUUAGUGUUUAGUGUUUUUUAGAGGGUUAGGGAUUUUAGGGGUUAUAGAUUAGUGUUUAUGAUUUUUUUGGGUUUAGGAUUUUAGGGGUUAUAUGACUUUUUGCGGUGUUUUGAGCAAAAACGUCGCUAUUGCUCAGUUUUUUAGCGGCGUUUGACCAAAAACGCCGCUAUUGCUCUGUUUUUUAGCGACGUUUGACCAAAAACGCCAUUAUUGCUCUGUUUUUAGCGGCGUUUGACCAAAAACGCUGCUAUUGCUCUGUUUUUUAGGGGCGUUUGACCAAAAACGCCGCUAUUACUCUGUUUUUUAGCAGCGUUUGACCAAAAACGCCGCUAUUGCUCUGUUUUUAGCGGCGUUUGACCAAAAACGCCGCUAUUGCUCUAUUUUUAGCGGCGUUUGACCAAAAACGCCGCUAACGUAUAAUUUUUGUGGCGUUUUUUAAUAAAACGCCGCUAAAAACGCUGCUAAAACCCUAUUUUCAUGUAGUGAUUAAGUCUUGAGUUCAAUGAGAUAAAGUACAUCAUCAAUAUUUGACUAUUGCCACUAUAAAAUAAUAUGUAAUAUAUCAUCCCAAGGUAAAAAGAGUUAGGUACUCGUAAUGAUAAGGGGAAGGAUGAGUAUUAUACUUGUUACAAGCCCAAUUUGCCCGGCCCAAAACCCAUUUCUAUAACCUCUAAACUCAACUACAGAUAAAACCAAACCUAAAGCCCAAUCUAAAACUAAACCUAGCCCACCAAGUCCACAUUUUUUUCAAUUCAAAAAAAAAAAUCAAAAGAAACCCUAGGUGCGCCGCACCUAGGUCUGCCCUUGUCCCAUCCACCACCGACGUCUGCCACCACCUACUCAGCACCGUUCCAACUGCCCCUACAAGAUAGACACGCAAACAAUAGUGAAAAUGAUAAAAAAAAAUGUAUGUAAUAGCUUUAUAAAAGCCGAAGAGAGGAGAUUGUAUUUUUUUCGGAUUUGGUUUUUGUUAAAAUACAAAAAGAAACACCAUCAAAAGACUUCAAAAAUAUUCACUCAAAUUGCAGUAAGAAAUAAAAGACAGAAUCAAAGGUCUAUAUUUUUUUUCUUUUUUCUUUUCUUUUUUUCUUUUCCGCAUUUGUUUAUAUAUUACAACUCUAUCCUGCUAAAAACAAUAUAUAUAUAUUAGACAAAAAAUAAUAAAAAUAAAAAAAUUUACCUUUUGGCUAUUUCCACGGUGGCCGGCACGGCGGAGCCACGGUGGGAGUGGCCGGACCCCUUUGGCCAGUUCUGGGAUUUACCCAAAGAGAAAACAACUCUCCCUCUCUCAUUUUUUUUAAACUCGGAGGAAAUGAAAUUUUCUAAAAAAAUUUUACUUUUAUAGCCUCUGGUACGGCGUCGUUUUGGGGCAAGCAUUCCACACCCAAAACGGCGUCAUUUAAUCGCCCGACCUGAAGUCCGACCUGAAAAUCGCCUAGGAUCCGCGUGUUCUGGGACUGAGGGUCUAUUUGCGCCCUUAGUCUCUCUACUCUUGAGGCCAGUUUUAAUGGGGUCCUCUUUUACUGUUACUUUUUUUAUUUCACCCCUGGAAUUUUUUACUGUUUUAUUUUGGUCCCUAAUCGAAGCGGUGCGUUUUGGGUGGACGGGUUUAUUACCCAUUUGGUCCCCCUUGGUUUUUCACGCGUUCGCUUGGAUCCCUAUUUUAACCUCAACAGUUUAUUUUAUUUGCACAUUACCCCUCCUAUUUUAACUAGAUUUCAAUUAAGUUUUAUUUAGAUUCUCUUUUACAGUUUUUCCUUUAUUAUUUGUGUUUAUUUGUUCGUACUAAUUGUAUCAUUUGCAUCAUUUGUUUAUUUAUUCAUUGUAGUUUGAGUGAUUUUAAUUCCAUAUUUUGUAUAUUAUUUUAUGUACGUGUUUGAUGUAUUAUUAUAUAUAUACCUUGAAACAAAAUUAACUUUAUUCUUUGUAUAUUAUUAGCCCUAUAUUAUUUCAUAGAUACAAUUUUUUUAUAUAUAUUUUAAUAUUCGUUGAUUGAAAGGAAAUCACCUGUUUUAUACAUUAUUUAAAUUAUUAUUAUACGUAUGCGUAAACAUUGGUGCACAUAUUGAAUCUAUAUACAUUACUAAACCCAUGUAUAUUGUACCUAUAGCUUUCUUUGUAUAUAUAAGUAUGUUUCUAAAUCCAUUAUAUAACUUGAUAAAAUUAAUUUAAUUCUUAUACAUAUUCUACUUAUUCUUAAUUUAUUUACAUAUAUAUAUACAAUUUGUAAAUCUAAUAUGUUCUUAAAAUUAUUAUACACUUUUAUUAUCUUUGCAUAUCUUUAAAUUCUCCUUUGAUAUAUAGGUUAUCAAUUGUAAACCGAUAUUCCUUAACACUGCGUAUAUUAUUCGAUUCGAAAAUAUCCAUUCUAACAUAUAUUUUAAAUGAUUAUAUGUGUAUCUCUACUUCUUCUAAAUCUAUUAACUCAUAUGUUAUAUACUACAUGUUUAUCAUUAUUUUAAUUUUGUUUAUACCAUAUUGAUCUUUUAAUUUUCAUUUUGUUUUGUAUAUCUUGUAUUGAUUGUGUUGUAUUAGGUUAUGUAUAUUAUUGUGGUAUAUUAUUUUCGUUUUGUAUUACUACCAUAUUGAUUAUUCUCCAUUCACGCUUAAUAAAUUGAUAAUAUUUUUAGAUUGGUUGAAUUUGAUUGUUUAUCUUGUUAGUCAAUUAAACGAAUUAUAUUAUCUCCUUUCAUCCAUCAUAAUAUUUCAUACAUGUAUAUUAUCCCGUGUUUUUUAUUUCCUUUUCAAUUUACAAAUAUCACUUUAUAAUUUCUAAUUCUUUAAAACUAAUUAUUCCCUUUUAUUUCAAGUCAAAUUAGUGUAUUUCUAGCUGGUUUUAUAAUUAUCUGUUUAAAGAUUCCUUAAAAUGAAAAAAAUGUUUGAUGUUUGGCAAUUCGGGGAAUCGUGCCCUACCGUGCUGGGUUGCAAUUUCCUGUUUGCUCGAAACGAUUGAAUAUUCCUUUGGUAUUUCACUCAUGUCUUUAAAAAUUCCUUAAAACGAAGGCAAUGUUCGAUGUUUGGCAAUUCAGGGAAUCGUGCCCUACUGUGCUGGGUUGCAAUUUCCUGUUUGCUCGAAACGAUCCAAUAUUCCUUUGGUAUUUCACUCAUGUCUUUAAAAAUUCUUUAAAACGAAGGAAAUGUUCGAUGCUUAGCGAUUCGGGGAAUUGUGCCCUAUCGUGUUGGGUUGCAAUUUUCUCGUUUGUUCAAAACAAUCGAAUAUUCCUUUAGAAUUUCAUUCGUAUUCUUUAAAUUCUAAAACAAAGCAAUGUUCAAUGUUUGGAAGUUCGAGGAAUCAUGCCCAACCGUGCUGGGUUUCGGUUUUUUGUUGGACUAAAUAAUUGACACCCUUUGUAAUUUUCAAUGUAUAAACUUUUGAAAAUCAAAAUUUACUGUAUUUUCGAGGGUAUAAAGGAUCGUGUCCUAUCGUGCUGGAUGCGAUGCUUAUUCCUCUGAACAAGAGAAUUUUGACAAUCAACUUGAGCUAUUCAAACGUUUUUAAGGAGUCAUAUUUUAAAAAUAACCUCAAAUCUCUGACAUAAUGACAGUACUUAAUCAAUUUGGUGCCAAUUUUGAGCGUAGUGAGGGUGCUAAUCCUUCCUCAUACGUAACUGACUCCCGAACCCAUUUUCUCAAAUUUAUGUAUGCCAUAAUUGACUUAAAUAGAGUAAAAUGUUUUAUCAGGUGAGCCAAUCACACCUAAACAAAAGAUUGGUGGCGACUCCAUGUUUUGUUUUCAAAAGGUCGAUCCCCGUUUUCAAAAAUGGUUUCGACAGCUUGGCGACUCCACUAGGGAUACCAAUAAGAGAGUCAAGUCAUAAAAUUGAUUAUUUGCUGUCCUUUGGUCAAUGAAUUGAAAAUUUGUUUUGAAAAUCAUGAUUUCUUCAAUUACAUUGUAUGAUUGUUAUGGUUUGGGUCUUGUAGAAUAACAUUGCAUCGCAUUGCAUGACCGCUGUGGUCACACCUUCUAAGUGGGAGUAAGAAACUAUGCUUUCGUGAGGUUUUCACCUCCGCAUGGACUAGUGGAUAGCUUCCGGGAUACAUCCGUACCUAUGAUUUCGUGAGAUUUUCAUCUUCACAUGGUCAUAGGGAAAUGUAUUGCCCUGAACCAAACUUGAUCCAUAUGAGCCUAUAAUGGGUGAGGAUCGAGGAAUCUGCUGGUUCGGGUACCCUUACUCUAGAACCAAACCAUAUAUAGGGAACCCUAAGAGCCUUCUUUAGGUGGAGUUAGGUUAAAUUGUAGUGGUCUCCCAUAUAAAUAUGCUUUGAUUAUCUUUAUUUUGCUUGUAUUUUAUUAUUAACACUUGAUACUGACUUGUCUUGUUUUGAUUGUAUUUUGCAUGACAUUGCAUACUAAAGGAGGUGUUGAUUCUUAUUCGAUUACUAAGUUAGAAAGUUUAACAUGGAGAAUGAAUUUCUUGGUAAAGUUGAGGAUAAUGCGGCCGUCCGCGCAUGGUCAGAGAAGUUACAAUCGGAGAAAGGGGAUAGCUUGACAGAAAGAUAUACAUCAGAAUUGCAGGAAUUCACUCGCGUCAAUGUAGCACAGAAUGAGUUGCAAAAGUUGAAAGAUAUCGGGGCUCAUUGGGAUGAAGGAACCAAACAGUUGUUCUAUCAAAGUUAUGAUGAUAUAUCUUACUUGCUAGAUAUUAAGGUGAACAAGCACCUGUUCCGAGUUAUGGUUCAUUUUUGGAAUUCUGCUUACAAGUGUUUCACUUUUGGGGAAGUGGAUUUAGUGCCUACCACGGAGGAGUAUACUACCCUGCUCAGGUGUCCAAAAAUGCAAGUUAGAAAAGCUUAUGCCAAGGUUUUUAAUGGCUAAACCUUCACGAAGAAAUUGAUGAAUAUUUCAAGGUUGAAUGAGCCUUGGGUCAAUGCUCGGAUUCAACAAAAGGGAGAUAGUAAAUGUAUCCCUUGGGAGAAUUUGAGAGAUUUGGUUUUAACACAUCCAGAUGAAAGAAAGAGGGUCAAUAUCUUUGCCUUAAGCAUCUAUGGAUUGGUAAUUUUUCCUAAUGCUUUAAAGCACGUAGAUGAGGCAGUCACUGACUUAUUCGAUCGUCUUGAGAAAGGAAUCACACCGGUAUCGGUAAUAUUGGCUGAGACGUACAGAUCCUUGAGCACAUGUCGGAAGACGGGCGAGGGACGGUUUAUUGGAUGUGCACAACUGUUGAUGGUGUGGUUUCAUGGGCACUUUUGGAAAGUAGACAAGGUUUCUUAUCGGGUCUUUGCCGAAGGUUAUUCCCCGUUGAAAGAGGAGGCAGCCAUACAAAGGAGAGAGGAUAUCUCGGAGGAGAAGUGGAUGGAAAUUCUUUAAAACCUUAAGGAGGGGGAUAUCGAGUGGAGAGCAUAUUGGAUGGUUCCUGAUGAGAUCAUGUAUUGAUGUGGUAACUUUGAUUGGGUGUCAUUGUUAGGAAUUUAGGGAGCUACCGGGUAUAGCCCAUUGCUUGCAUUAAGACAAUAUAAAUUGAGGUAGUUUGUACCCACGACCUACGGACUUGCUCAGUGUGAAUUCUCUUUUAAAGGUGCCCACUAUAAGAAGAAAGUUCGGGAGCUAUCCGAUGCUUGGAAGCAAACUCAUUGGAUGAAGAGGUUGGCUAUCAGUUCCAUGGUGACGCCCGAGUAUGAUGGAUGGUUUAAGAAGAGGGUUAAUGAUAAUGUUCCUAGGCCAAGCCUGGAGAAUACUCGACCUAUGGUAGAACAAUUACGAGUCGCCCCGUCAGAGUUGGAAAUUAUAAAACAAGACUUCGAGAAGAAGAGUUCAGAGCUUGGGAAAAAGAUCUAACAAUUGGAGGAAGAGAAGAUGCACCUAAGAUUAGACGCUGAUGUCCAGAGGUCAGAGGCUGAAAAGUGGACAAAGGGAAAACUAAGGCCAAAGAGGAUCUAGACAGUUUGAAGGCUGACUAUAAUAAGUUACGCCUGUCUAUGAGGACUACGGGGUUAGGUAAGACUUCCGAACAAUGGCGCCAUAAAAUUCGAGAAGAAAAGACCAAGGCCGAUCGAUGGGAAAGGAAAUUCCGAGGAGCUCAGGCACGAAAUGAAGAUCUAAAAAAGAGUCUGUCGGAAAGUAAAAAUGAGAGAGGUGAAUUAAAGGCUAGAGUGGCAGAACUCGAGAAGUCUCUUCAUCAAUACCGAAACCACAACACCGCAAUGGAAUUGAGGGCGAGCUUGAGCAAGAUAGAAGAAAUGAGAGGAAAAAUAGAAGAAUUAGAAAUGUCACUGCAAAACUGUGAGAUGCGGAUUCAGUUUUUCGAGGCAAAUGAGGACCGUUGGAAAGAGCAGCUUCACCAUGCACAAGAUCAAAUCAGAAAUAGAGAUUACAUUAUGGGAGAAGCCAUAACCUAGAUUUGGGAGGUAGCUGAUUACUUGCAAGCUUUGGCAGUGCAAGCGGACAUACUGGGAGUAAAAUACGAGUUUGAGUCAGAUCGGGGGUAGGAGCUAGCCUCAUUAUUUAAGAAAAUUAAGGCUCUGAGCAUUAGGGCGAAGUCUUAUUUGUAACUAAAUUUUAUGUAAAGACUUUUAUUUUCUAGUCAAGUUUUCUAAAUGGAAUUAAAUCAAAAUUGAUGCCUCCUUUGCAUUCAUGCAUUUGCAUUACAUUACUUCGUAUGCAUUAAAAGCCAUAAAAAGAUUCUAAUUAAUUAAAAAUGUUUCAGUAAUCUGGAAACCAACGAAAAUCUCUCAAGUGCACAUCCCUACAGUACAAGAAGAAAAACUCAAGCAAUGGAUACAAAAUUAGAAAGAUUGGAACAAAUGCAGAAAGAGAUGCAGGAGCAGAUGCAAGCAUAAGUGUAAGAACAGUUAGCUAAAAUCCAGCAGGAAAUGAGGGAUCAAAUGUUGGAAUUGCAAAGAAGCAUGAUGGAAGAGCUAACCCGACUACUAACUAGUAGGACGGAUAAAGGCAAGGGCCCUAUGACCAAUGUUGGAAAUAACAAUGAAGAUUCCUUUACCCCCUGGUUUUACCCCAGAAAAUGCUCAAACGCAACAUGAGAUACACACGUAGAGGCCAGCCGUUACUGAGGAUCCUCUCUACCCCUCUGGUUUCACUCCGAUGAAUACUCAAAUACAACCUGAGCUGCACAUGCGAAGGCCGUCUGUGACAAUCCGGCCCCAACAAUUACAGGCUGAUACCUCGAUGCCGAUGAACUAUCAGGUUGGCUUAGGUUCUAAUCCGGGGGAUAACCCGACUAACCCCGAUGUUCCCAAUCUUAAUGAAGUAAUAGAAGCAGAAAAGACAAGGGUAGAGCUUCCGAAAGAACUUGAAGAACAGUGUAGAUGGUUGGAAGAAAAAUUUAAAGAAAUAGAAAACGCUGACUAUCGUGGUGGAAUCGAUGCUAAGGAGUGAAGCUUGGUUCCAGACUUGGUGCUUCCCCCCAAGUUCAAAACGCCAGAAUUUGAAAAAUACAAUUGAACUAGCUGUCCAGAGGCUCACAUCACCAUGUUUUGUCGAAGAAUGGCAGGGUACGUUCACAAUGAUCAACUGUUGAUCUACUGCUUCCAAGACAGUUUGGUCGAGUCUGCGGCCAAAUGGUACAACCAACUAAGCCGUGCUCAACUCCAUUCUUGGAAAGACUUGGCACAAGCUUUUAUUAUGAAGCAAUACGGCCACGUGACAGACAUAGCACCCGAUCAAAAACGUUACAAAACAUGGAGAGGAAAUAAAAUGAAAGUUUCAGGCAGUACGCCCAAAGAUGGAGAGAGGUGGCGACACAAGUCCAACCACCUCUUUUGGAAAAAGAAAUGACUAUGCUCUUUAUUAACACUCUGAAAGCUCCAUCUAUCAACCACAUGCUGGGAAGCGCUACUAAGAGAUUCUUAGACAUAGUAAUGUCAGGAGAGACGAUAGAGAACGCGAUAAGAUGCGGGAAGAUUGAAAUAGGGGGAAAUGCCAAGAAAUCAGCGCCGAGAAGGAAAGAAAACGAGGUGAACAACACGAGUGUAUACAAUAAGAGUUAUAACAAGCCAAUCACCGUGAGCCAACCGAGGACGGUGACUACCAGCCAUCAGGGCUCCACACGAUAAGAUUCCAACUCAAGGCCUAACACGGAAAGAGUCCAGUUUACGCCUAUCCCGAUGUCCUACAAAGAAUUGUAUCAGAGCUUAUUUGAUGCCCAUGUGGUGUCACCUUUCUAUUUGAAGCCUUUACAACCCCCAUUCCCAAAAUGGUACGACACAAACGCCCAAUGUGAGUACCACGCAAGGAUAAUGGGCCACUCGAUUGAGAACUGUACCGCAUUCAAAAAGUUAGUGGAAAAACUCAUCGAAAUGGGUGUCAUAAAGUUUGGUGACUCACCAGGUCCCAAUGUAGAGGAAAUUCGUUACCCGACCAUGCUAAUAAAGGGAUAAACGCGAUAGUCGAGAGUGGAGCAAAAGAAUCAAGAUAGAUGUAUCAGAGGUAAAAACCCCUUUUAAAUGGGUUUGGGAGAAGAUGGUGGAAGGAUGUUUAGUCACACGACAUCCAAGGGAAAGGCCCAGAGAAGCGAGAAGAUACUGCGAGUUUCAUGCCGAUGAAGGCCAUGACAUCUAAGAGUGCAAUAAGUUCAGGUCCAUAGUGCAAAAUCUGAUGGACAAUAAGGAGAUGGAAUUUUAUGAAGAAAUCAGAGGAUUAGAGGAAUGAGAGGUUUACACUACAGAGGAGGAAACAACAGAAUGGGUCCAAAGAGUUAAUCAUUCUGUAGCGAUCAUUUCGCGACCCAGGAACAAUGAAGCAGGAGUACAACUGGGGCCGAGAGUCAUAAUCUAGAAGCCGAUAUCCUUCCCAUACAAGGAUAGCAAAAAGGUUCAUUGGGGGAAAAGAACGGCAAGUGCUUCACAAGAGAACCAAGAUGUAGGUUUCUAUACACGCAGUGGGAGACGUUAUGAUCCUACAAGUACAAAAAAUGAAACCGUUAAAGAAAAGGCCCUAAUGGUUGAGCAAAGGAAGGAGAAGAAGGUCAGGUUCAAAUCGCCAGUCAAUGAGUCAGUAACCGAGAAUGAAUCUAGGGAAUUCUUAAAAUUUUUAAAGUAUAGUGAGUACAGCGUCGUUGAACAGCUACGCAAGCAACCGGCUUGCAUCUCAGUGCUAGCCUUACUUUUGAGCUCGAAAACUCAUCGAAAUGCGUUAAUGAAAAUGUUGAAUGAGACUUAUAUCGCGAAUGACAUCUCUGUUAACAAACUGGAUCGUCUGGUCAACAAUAUCAGCGCCUAUAAUUUUAUUUUCUUUAACGAUGAUGAAAUACCACCGGGAGAUAUGGGGUCCGCAAAGGCUCUGCACAUUACCACACGUUGCAAGGGAUUCACAUUGCUGGGGGUAUUGAUUGAUAAUGGGUCGGCACUAAACGUCCUACCUCUAUCCACAUUAAAUAGGUUACCCGUAGAUAGUUCUCAUAUGAAGACACGCCAAAAUGUAGUGAGGGCGUUCGACGGUACCGAAAGGAAAGUAAUGGGGAGGAUCGAAAUACCCCUUUUAAUCGGCUCUAGCACACACGAGAUAGAUUUCUUGGUAAUGGAUAUCAGGCCCUCUUACAAUUGCUUAUUGGGAAGGCCCUGGAUUCAUUCAGCGGGGGCAGUACCGUCAUCGUUACAUCAAAAGCUUAAAUUUAUAAUGGAAGGUCGAUUGGUGACCGUAAAUGCGUAGAAGAUAUCAUUGCAUCCGUUACCAGCAAUGCACCGUAUGUGGGGACAGAUGAUGAAGCCAUAGAAUGUUCUUUUUGGUCAUUAGAAUUUGUAAAUGCGACCUUUGUUGUCGAAGGAAAUAAGAUCUCGACGCCUAAAAUCUCCAAAACUACAAGAAUGAGCUUACAAAUAACAGUUGGGAAAAGAGCUUUGCUGGGGAAAAGGCUUGGAAGAAGCCUACAAGGAAGGGUUGAAGCACCUAUGCUCAUGGACAAACGAGACCGCUUUGGCUUAAGAUUCAAGCCAGAUGCAAAACAAAAGAGAAAAGAGCAAGAGAAGAAACAAAAAAGGAGAAGAGCGCGUUUAAGCGGGGAAGAGGUUAAGUGGGAGCCGAUGACCUUUCCUCACAUAUCCAGAACAUUCGUGUCGGGAGUGACUGUUCACGCUGAAGGAAGAUUGACAAGGAAAGGAUCUGCCGAAGAAAUGUUGGAAAACUUAAGCAUUAAUGCCACAUAUGAAGAAGGAACUGCAGUAGAGAAUUUGCAGGGCAGUCGCUCUUAUAAGCCGGGAAGUGUUCUGAAUAAUUGGACUGCGGAAGAGAUUCCUAUAGUCUUUAGAACUAACACAGAGUAAUGCCCAAAACACACCUAUUACUCUAGGCCUAGGAGUAAUAAGUGUCAUUUUGUGAAAUAGACUUGUGUUCAAAAUCAUUAUUUCAAUGAAAUGCAUCCUUUUGUCUUAUUUCACGCAAAUAUUCUUUUAUUCCUUCAUUCAUAAUCAUACUAUACACAUCAUUGUUCUUAGAUUCUUUUGUUCUUUGUAUCUUCCUUCACACCUACAACAAGUCCCAGAUAUCAACGAUAUGAGCGACAUUGCUACUAACUCAGAGUCUCCUUUUGAGCGGGAUAUGUGUUUAGAGGGGUCUCAGGACUUCAAAGAUGACAGAGACUGUAACUUAUCCCCUGAUUUGUUAAGGAUGGUAGGACAAGAAGAGAAACAGAUUUUACCUCACAAAGAGUCAGUAGAAGUAGUGAAUUUUGAAGAUAAUCUAGAAAAGAAAUAAGUAAAAAUCGGAGCUGGCAUUACCACAGAGAUAAAGCGGAACCUUAUUGAAUUACUCUAAGAGUUCAAGGAUGUCUUCGCAUGGUCAUAUCAAGAUAUGCUUGGGCUAAGUAUUGAUAUUGUGGUACACAGGCUCUCCAUUAAAGAAGAAUGCAAGCCAGUUCAACAGAAGCUCCGAAGGAUGAGACCGGAUGUUUUGUUGAAAAUAAAAGAGGAGGUCAAGAAGUAAUUCGAUGCUGGUUUCUUACAAGUAGUUAAGUACUCAGAAUGGGUAGCCAACAUUGUCUCCGUCCCUAAAAAAGAUGGAAAAGUACGGAUGUGUGUAGACUACAGGGAUCUGAACAAAGCCAGCCCGAAGGAUAAUUUCCCGUUGCCUCAUAUUGACACCUUAGUGGACAAUACGGUAGGUUACUCACUGUUCUCCUUCAUGGAUGGUUUCUCAGGGUACAAUCAGAUCAAGAUGCAUCCCGAAGACAUGAAUAAGACCACAUUUGUAGCCAUGUGGGGAACCUUUUGCUAUAAGGUGAUGCCUUUUGGAUUAAAAAAUGCUGGAGUAACAUAUCAGAGAGCCAUGGUAACCCUAUUCCAUGAUAUGAUGCACAAAGAAAUUGAAGUCUAUGUUGACGACAUGAUCGCUAAAUCCUGUACAGAAGAAGAACAUGUGCAAGUCUUGAGGAAAUUAUUUUUGAGGUUGAGGAAGUCCCAACUAAAACUCAAUCCAGCAAAAUGUACCUUUGGGGCCAGGUCAAGGAAACUACUAGGAUUCGUAGUCAGUGAAAAAGAGAUUGAGAUUGACCCAGAUAAAGUCAAAGCCAUAUAAGAGUUACCUCCGCCGCGUACUCAAAAGGAAGUUCGGGGAUUCUUAGGGAGAUUAAAUUACAUCGCUCGGUUUAUUUCACAAUUAACCGAGAAAUGUGACCCCAUAUUCCGCCUCCUUAAGAAACAUAACCCUGGUGUUUGGGAUAUGAAGUGCCAGAAGACUUUUGACAAGGUUAAGUAAUAUUUGUCUAAUGCCCCAGUGUUGACACCACCUAGUCCAGAUAAACCACUGAUACUGUAUUUGACAGUAUUUGAAAAUUUUAUGGGAUAUGUACUCGGCCAACACGAUGAGUCAAGAAGGAAAGAAAGAGCGAUAUAUUACCUCAGUAAGAAGUUCACUGAAUGUGAGACGAGAUACUCGCCAAUUGAAAAGUUGUGUUGUGCUUUAAUUUGAACAACCCGAAGACUGAGACAAUACAUGUUGUACCACACAACUUGGCUAAUUUCUAAAUUAGAUCCUCUCAAGUACCUGAUGGAAUCAACUGUUUUAAAUGGAAAAAUGACCCGAUGGCAAAUUCUACUUUUCGAAUUUGAUAUCAUCUAUGUAAAUCAGAAAGCUGUAAAAGGGAGUGCCAUAACAGAUUUUCUAGCCAGUAGAGCUCUAGAGGACUAUGAGCCUCUGAACUUUGAUUUACCAAAUGAAGAUCUGAUGUACGUGGCAACCACUGAAGAAGACCCUCAAGAAGGUCAUCCUUGGAAACUAAACUUCGAUGGAGCAUCAAAUGCUGUGGGUAACAGAAUUGGGGCAGUCUUGGUAUCCCCAGACGGAGAUCAUUAUCCCUUCACUAGUAAAUUGGAUUUUGACUGCACGAACAAUAUGGCGGAAUACGAAGCGUGCAUCAUGGGCAUCCGUGUAGCAGUAGAACACAAGAUUAAAGUACUAGAAGUAUAUGGAGAUUCUGCGCUAGUGAUUUAUCAACUCAAAGGUGAAUGGGAGACGAGAGAUCCCAAAUUGAUUAAUUACAGAAAUCCGAUCCUUGAAUUAAUUAAAGAAUUUGAUGAUAUCAUCUUCUGCUAUCUCCCUCGAGAAGAAAAUCAGAUGGCUGACGCCCUAGCAACUUUAGCCUCUAUGAUCAAGGUGAACAAACAAGAAGAUGUGAAACCGAUCCAAAUGAGUAUUUACGAGGCUCCAACCCAUUGUUACAACCUCGAAGAAGAAACAAAAAAUGAUGAUCACCUUUGGUACCACGAUAUCCUGCGGUAUGUGAAGAAUCGUGAGUACCCCGACCAAGCUACUGAAAAUGACUAAAAGAACGUUGAGAAGACUGACCAGCGACUAUGUCUUGGACGGGGAGAUUCUAUACAAAAGAAGGAAGGAUCAGGUACUGUUAAGAUGUGUAGACGCUAUUGAGGCUAAGAAAAUCUUGAAAGAAGUCCAUGAGGGCGUCUGUGGGGCACACGCUAACGGCUUCACAAUGGCUAGGCAAAUUAUGAGAUUUGGUUAUUAUUGGUCCAUCAUGGAAGGAGACUAUAUUAACUGUGCCAAAAGAUGUCAUAAGUGCCAAAUCUAUAGAGACAAGAUUAAUGUGCCUCAUUCAUCUCUGUAUGUUAUGACUUCUCCAUGGCCUUUUUCGAUGUGUGGCAUGGAUGUGAUCGGGCCAAUUUCACCAAAAGCUUCAAAUGGGCAUCGAUUCAUCUUUGUGGUUAUCGAUUAUUUCACCAAGUGGGUAGAGACCGCUUCAUAUGCUAAUGUUACAAAAUCAGUAGUUAGUAAGUUCCUAAAGAGGGAGAUUAUCUGUCGAUAUGGAAUGCUAGAAAAGAUCAUAUUUGACAAUGCAUUGAAUUUGAACAAUAGUACAAUAGUAGAAGUCUGCAAUCAGUUCAAGAUUAGACACCACAACUCGUCGCCGUAUCGCCCGAAAAUGAAUGGUGCAGUCGAAGCAGCUAAUAAGAACAUCAAGAAGAUUGUGGGAAAGAUGACAAAAACUUACAAAUAUUGGCUUGAGAAAUUACCGUUCGCCCUCUAUGCUUAUCGAACAUCCAUCAGGACCUCUACUGGGGCAACUCUUUUCUCAUUGGUCUAUGGAAUGAAGGCGGUUUUACCCAUCGAGGUUGAGAUUCCUUCCCUCAGAGUUUUGGCAGAAGUAAAGCUGGAUGAGGCAGAGUGGAUCCAAUCCCGAUACGAUCAGUUGAAUUUGAUCGAAGAAAAAGGCUAAAGGCAAUCCGUUAUGGUCAAAUGUACCAAAAACGGAUGAUGCGAGCCUACAACAAAAAGGUUCGUCCUAGAGAAUUCCAUGAAAGAGACCUAGUAUUAAAAAAGAUCCUGCCUAUAUAAAAAGACUUCAGAGGAAAAUGGAUGCCAAAUUGGGAAGGACCUUAUGUGGAGAAGAAAGCCUUUUCUGGAGGAGCAUUGAUAUUGACCGAAAUGGAUGGCAAGACUUUACCCAAUCCUGUGAAUUCGGAUUCGGUUAAGAAAUACUUCGCCUAAAAAAAAAAGGGGGAAGGAGAGGCCAAGGUGAAAACUCACAAAGAGCACAUUGAGACCAAAGGGAUUUUGAAUUGAAAACCCGCAAAAGGCCGAUUCAAACUUGGAUCAGAGGUUGGGCCUGCGGUACUCUUGUAAUAUCUGAAUUAGCAAAGAUGAGAGAUGUUACAUCUUGAGGCAUCAACAAGAGUACUCUAGAUCCCCUAAACACAUAUUAGGCUCAAAAAGGGGUCUUCAAGAAGUUCAUACAGGAAAGUUCAUGCUGCGAUAUUUGGGGAACCUGUUUUCCUUUUGUCUUCCAGCAAUGUUUAUGUUUUGUGAUUAAUCUAUUCCUUUCAAAUUUUGUUUCUGAUAAAUUUCGGUUCUGUCCAUUGUUACGAUCUUUCCCAAGCAUUUUGCAUUGAAAUAACGACUAAUGGACUAAUGACAUUUUUGCAAAAGGAGUUCUGCAUAUUACUCUGAAAGUUUCUAAAUAAUAUAGGAACCUGAAACAGGACUAUUAUUUAGAACUAACCAAACCCAAGGAUUGGAAUAUUUGAGAAGGAAGAGUUAAAUUGGGACUACCAUUUCGGAUUUUUCGUCCAAAAUCUAAGAUGAACAAGAAGACAGGAUACAGUUUUAGUGACAGAACCUUGAUGAACAAAAAACAUUAGCAACCCAAACAUUAAAAAGGGAUCAUUCUCAUAACAUACCGCACUCAUGCAGAUAUUCAUGACAUACCUAGUUAGGAGCAUUUUGAUUCAUUUCGAUCAUAGCAUCCUAAUUAUUUGGUAUAAGCAUAGGUAUUUGAAACUGAUUCUACAGAUCAUACCUAUAGAGGAUGGUGUAGCAACGUCUGAAAAUUACAGAUCUUGUCUCCAUAAGCAGUAGUGGAACAGAUUGAAGACGGUGAGCCUCAACCCCCUAAGCAGUAGGGUAAUAGGCUGAAUUACAAAUCAUUUCUCCCUGAAAUGGUGUUGGAGCGGCUCGAAGUCAUAGCAGAUCUCCUUGAAGUUUUAGCGGAAUGGAUUAAAGUCACAAGUCUUAUCUCCUUGAAGUUCCAGUGGAGCAGACUAAAGAAAGCAAAUCUUAUUUCCCUAAAGUUAUAAAGCACAGAUCUCAUCUCUUUGAAGUUGCAGUAGAGCAGAUCAAAACAAGUCUUAUCUCCCUGAAAUUGCAGUGGAGCAGAUUAAAGAUAGCAAAUCUUAUUUCCCUGAAGUUGCAGUGGAACAGAUUGAAGCUAUAAACCACAGAUCUCAUCUCUCUGAAGUUGUAGUAGAGCAGAUCAAAACAAGUCUUAUCUUCCAGAAGUUGCAGUGGAACAAACUAAAGAUAGCAAAUCUUAUUUCCUUGAAGUUGCAGUGGAACCGAUUAAAGCUAUAAAGUACAGAUCUCAUCUCUCUGAAGUUGCAGUAGAGCAGAUCAAAACAAACCUUAUUUCCUUGAAGUUGCAGUGAAGCGAUAGAGCGAAGCAAAGCGACAAGAUGUAGUGGGCUGAACGAGGCUACCUAAAAAGGAGAGGCACUAAAGAAGUUAAGGCUCGGUGGGACCGGGCAAAUUUGGUCUUUCUUAAAAGUCUUUGCUCUGUUCUCAUUACACGACAACGAGCAAAGAGGGGCAGCUGUUACAAGCCCAAUUCGCCUGGCCCAAAACCCAUUUCUAUAACCCCUAAACCCAACUACAGAUAAAACCAAACCUAAAGCCCAAUCUAAAACUAAACCUAGCCCACCAAGCCCAUAUUUUUUUCAAUUCAAAAAAAAAAUCAAAAGAAACCCUAGGUGCGCCGCACCUAGGUCUGCCCUUGUCCCAUCCACCACCGACGUCUGCCACCACCUACUCAGCACCGCUCCAACUGCCCCUACAAGAUAGACACGCAAACAAUAGUGAAAAUGAUAAAAAAUGUAUGUAAUGGCUUUAUAAAAGCCGAAGAGAGGAGAUUGUAUUUUUUUCGGAUUUGGUUUUCGUUAAAAUACAAAGAGAAACACCAUCAAAAGACUUCAAAAAUAUUCACUCAAAUUGCAGUAAGAAAUAAAAGACAAAAUCAAAGGUCUAUAUUUUUUUAUUUUUUCUUUUCUUUUUUUCUUUUCCGCAUUUGUUUAUAUAUUCCAACUCUAUCCAACUAAAAACAAUAUAUAUAUUAGACAAAAAAUAAUAAAAAAAUAAAAAAAUUUACCUUUUGGCUAUUUUCACGGUGGCCGGCACGGCGGAGCCACAGUGGGAGUCGCUAGACCCCUUUGGCCGGUUCUGGGAUUUACCCAAAGAGAAAACAACUCCCCCUCUCUCAUUUUUUUGUUCUGAAACUCGGAGGAAAUGAAAUUUUCUAAACUUUUUUAACUUUUAUAGCCCCCUGGUACGGCGUCAUUUUGGGGCAAGCAUUCCACACCCAAAACGGCGUCUUUUAAUCGCCCGGCCCGAAGUCCGACUCGAAAACCGCCUAGGAUCCGCGUGUUCUGGGACUGAGGUUCUAUUUGCGCCCUUAGUCCCUCCGCUCUUGAGGCCAGUUUUAAUGGGGUCCUUUUUUACUAUUACCUUUUUUUAUUUCACCCCUGGAAUUUUUUACUGUUUUAUUUUGGUCCCUAAUCGAAGCAGUGCGUUUUGGGUGGACGGGUUUAUUACCCAUUUGGUCCCCCUUGGUUUUUCACGCGUUCGCCUGGAUCCCUAUUUUAACCUCAACAGUUUAUUUUAUUUGCACAUUACCCCUCCUAUUUUAACUAGAUUUCAAUUAAGUUUUAUUUAGAUUCUCUUUUACAGUUUUUCUUUUAUUAUUCGUGUUUAUUUGUUCAUACUAAUUGUAUCAUUUGCAUCAUUUGUUUAUUUAUUCAUUGUAGUUUGAGUGAUUUUAAUUCCAUAUUUUGUAUAUUAUUUUAUGUACGUGUUUGAUGCAUUAUUAUAUAUAUAUAUAUACCUUGAAACAAAAUUAACUUUAUUCUUUGUAUAUUAUUAGCCCUAUAUUAUUUCAUAGAUACAAUUUUUUAUAUAUUUUUUAAUAUUCGUUGAUUGAAAGGAAAUCACCUGUUUUAUACAUUAUUUAAAUUAUUAUUAUACGUAUGCGUAAACAUUGGUGCACAUAUUGAAUCUAUAUACAUUACUAAACCCAUGUAUAUUGUACCUAUAGCUUUCUUUGUAUAUAUAAGUAUGUUUCUAAAUCCAUUAUAUAACUUGAUAAAAUUAAUUUAAUUCUUAUACAUAUUCUACUUAUUCUUAAUUUAUUUACACAUAUAUAUAUACAAUUUGUAAAUAUAAUAUGUUCUUAAAAUUAUUAUACACUUUUAUUAUCUUUGCAUAUCUUUAAAUUCUCCUUUGAUAUAUAGGUUAUCAAUUGUAAACCGAUAUUCCUUAACACUUCGUAUAUUAUUCGAUUCGAAAAUAUCCAUUCUAACAUAUAUUUUAAAUGAUUAUAUGUGUAUCUCUAGUUCUUCUAAAUCUAUUAACUCAUAUGUUAUAUACUACGUGUUUAUCAUUAUUUUAAUUUUGUACCAUAUUGAUCUUUUAAUUUUCAUUUUAUUUUGUAUAUCUUGUAUUGAUUGUGUUGUAUUAGGUUAUGUAUAUUAUUAUGGUAUAUUAUUUUCGUUUUGUAUUACUACCAUAUUGAUUAUUCUUCAUUCACGCUUAAGAAAUUGAUAAUAUUUUUAGAUUGGUUGAAUUUGAUUGUUUAUCUUGUUAGUCAAUUAAACGAAUUAUAUUAUCUCCUUUCAUCCAUCAUCCCGUGUUUUUUAUUUCCUUUCCGGUUUACAAAUAUCACUUUAUAAUUUCUAAUUCUUUAAAACUAAUUAUUCCCUUUUAUUUCAAGUCAAAUUAGUGUAUUUCUAGCUGGUUUUAUAAUUAUCUGUUUAAAGAUUCCUUAAAACGAAGGCAAUGUUCGAUGUUUGGCAAUUCGGGGAAUCGUGCCUACCAUGCUGGGUUGCAAUUUUCUGUUUGCUCGAAACGAUCGAAUAUUCUUUUGGUAUUUCACUCAUGUCUUUAAAAAUUCCUUAAAACGAAGGCAAUGUUCGAUGUUUGGCAAUUCGGGGAAUCGUGCCCUACUGUGCUGGGUUACAAUUUCCUGUUUGCUCGAAACGAUCGAAUAUUCCUUUGGUAUUUCACUCAUGUCUUUAAAAAUUCUUUAAAACGAAGGAUAUUUUCGAUGCUUAGCGAUUCGGGGAAUUGUGCCCUAUCGUGUUGGGUUGCAAUUUUCUCGUUUGUUCAAAACAAUCGAAUAUUCCUUUAGAAUUUCAUUCGUAUUCUUUAAAUUCUAAAACAAAGCAAUGUUCAAUGUUUGGAAGUUCGAGGAAUCAUGCCCAACCGUACUGGGUUUCGAUUUUUCGUUGGACUAAAUAAUUGGACGCCCUUUGUAAUUUUCAAUGUAUAAACUUUUGAAAAUCAAAAUUUACCGUAUUUUCGAGGGGAUAAAGGAUCGUGUCCUAUCGUGUUGGAUGCAAUGCUGUAUUCCUCUGAACAAGAGAAUUUUGACAAUCAACUUGAGCUAUUCAAAUGUUUUUAAGGAGUCAUAUUUCAAAAAUAACCUCAAAUCUCUGACAUAAUGACAGUACUUAAUCAAUUCGGUGCCAAUUUUGGGCGUAGUGAGGGUGCUAAUCCUUCCCCAUACGUAAUCGGCUUCCGAACCCGUUUUCUCAAAUUUAUGUAGGCCAUAAUUGACUUAAAUGGAGUAAAAUGUUUUAUCAGGUGAGCCAAUCACACCUAAACAAAAGAUUGGUGGCGACUCCAUGUUUUGUUUUCAAAAGGUCGAUCCCCAUUUUCAAAAAAUGAUUUCGACAAUACUCUUAAGACCUAUAAUAUAAAUAUGUCAAUAUCAUAAUUACAGGAACACUCUCGUUGGGAUCUACCUAAGUGAGUGGAAGUGUGGCUGAUUCUAGGAGCUCAGGGAUUUAGCUUUGACAAAACUCAUUAAAAAGAGGUUACAAACACAUUAUCAUAAUAGUGUCCUUGGAUACUGUGCAUUAAUUGGUAUUGAAAUAAUUGUGUGAGAUGUGUUCGGUUAACCAAAUGGAAUAGCUGGUUCAAAGCAUAGUCUACCAUGCAAUUUUGAUUAAGUUUAACAUGUUUUCACUAAGUGAAAGUUCAAUCGUAAGACACCUUACACAAUUGAUUUCCAAAUUUAUAAAAAUCUAGAAUAUUUUGAAAAUGGGGGGAAGGGAUGGUUAGAACAUUUUCAAAAUAUAUAGUGUUCUAGUAGUUGCAAAUGAAAAUUUAUAAGUAACCAAAGUUAUGUCACUUGGUUAUUAACCAAAAGUUGUCACUAUUUAUAGUGAUGAGUUAUGUCUCCUAAAUCCAAAAGUUAUGUCACUUGAUCAUUAACAAAUAGUUAUAAUUAUUCAAGUAGAUAUCUAUUGAAUAAUUAUGUUUAUUGUUAAAGAUGUAGUUAUAUCCCUAUAAAGAGACAUGAGACCUUUUGUAAAUAGGAAUGGAAUUUCAUUUGCAUGUCACACCAAAAAAAAAAAAAGAAACAAACUUUCUUUCUAUUCUUCCACCAUCUUUCAUAUUCCUAGAUUGUUCUAUAAAGAAUUAUUGUAGAAAUUUUCUAUAGAAAUUACCACUUAGUGCUCAGUGGAUUGUUUCCGUCAAUACAAAAUAUAAAUAGUCAUUGGGCUAUUGUAUCCUCAAGGUUUAUUUGCCACUAACUCCUUUGCAUACCAUAAUAUAGGUGGGGCGAAUAGUGUUGGAAAAAAUCUGAUUUGAAAAUGUUUUUCUUACACAGUGAAAAUUUAAAAUUUUGAAAAUCGAGUUAGUUUGUGAUAUUUAUAGCAAUAAAAUUUAUCUGAAAUCACAUCUGUGUUUUCGGCUAGACAGAUCCUUGUCUUUCCCGACUUUCAACUAAACGACCUUCUCAUUUAUUCUCGUACCACGAAUUGCUUCGACUGUGGGCUCAAACAAAUUCGAAUCAAACACAAAACUAAAAAUUAUUUAUUUUACUUUCAGUGGAAAAACAAACCUCUCUUCUAUAGCAACCGGUAGAACUGUUAUUAUCUAUGUUGAAUUAAUUUGUUUGAUUGUUUCAAUAAGUUUAUGCUUCACUUGCAAUUCAGUGUUGUAUUUUUGCAACUCCUAAAUCCUCUAAAGAAAUAUAGGUUUAGCUCUCAACUCGGCUAAAAUAAAGAUAUUCCGCCCCAAAGUCAAGCAAGUAUUCAUCGUUUAUAAAGCGAAUAGAGAUUUUUACCUUAGAGCAUCAACCACAACAUUGGCUUUUCCGGAUGAUAGUUAAUGAUCAAGUCGCAGUCUUUAAGUAACUCAAGUCACCUGUGCUAUCUCAAAUUCAAUUAUUUCUACGUCAGCAAGUAUUUUAGACUUUUAUGAUACGUGAAAAUGUGACAUUUUUCUUCGUACAAAUAAUGUCUCCAUAUCUUCAAAGCGAAAACCACAACUGCAAGUUUCAAGUCGUGAGUAGGAUAAUUCUUCUCAUGCGGCUUAAGUUUUCGAGAAUUAUAAACAAUUACUUUCCCUCUUGCAUUAAUACACAACCUAAACAGUUGGGUGAUACGUAGCUGAACAGAAUAAAGUCUUGUCCCGGUUCAAGUUGGGUUAAAAUCGGAGCUUCAGUUACCAUUGCCAUCAACAUUUCAAAUGUAACACCCCCUAACCCUUAUCCGUCACUGGAACAGGGUUACGGAGCAUUACCAGACUUUUCUGAUCAAAUACAAAUAUUUUAUAAUCAUCUAACAUGCAAUCAUAAUUUAAAUAUGUUGUCCCUCUUUUGAGCCAUCGCGACCCAAAAUAUAUGUUAGAAAUGAAUCGGGACUAAAUCGGGUACUCUAUAAUUUUUUUGUGAAAUAUCAAAAUUUUUCCUAGGUGUAAGGGUCAUACGCCCAUGUGGCCAUUAUACAUGCCCGUGCCUCAAGUCAUGUCUGGCCCCGUGUAACUCUCUGACUUAGGCCACACAGGCAGCCACAUGCCCGUGUGCUAGGCCGUGUGCCUCACACGGUUGAGACACACUCUUGUGUCUCUGCCUAAGUGAAAUUACCUGGGCAUUCUGUUUUGAAAUUUUAAAGUUGCAGGGGACACACAGCCAAACCACACGCCCAUGUGUUAACCGUGUGUCUCACACGGUUCAGUCACACGCCCAUGUGCCUAGCCGUGUGGACUCAAAAUGAGUCUUAUAAAUCAAGUUUUCCAUACCCUACAAUCUUGAACACCGAGCAACUCAAAAACAAUAGGAAUAUAUUAAAAAAAAGAGUUGAUUCUAGGUAUCGUUCUGAGCAAAACUACAAAUAAUUAAAUCAUAAAAAUGUAAAAUCAUAGGCUGCCUAACCCGCAAUUUCUACACAGCUUCAAUGAACAAUUUUACUCAUAUUCUACAAAAAAAAUUAACAAGUAUUUCAUACAAAUACAAGUGCUAAAUCAAAUUUGUAACUAAAAAAAAAUAAAAUCAAUGAAUAAAACUUACUUGCCAAAAAUUUGUUGGAGUAAUAAAGAAAAUCAAGUGAUAGGAAGGAGGAAGGAGGCAAUAGCUUUUCCUUUUUUCUAAGUAGACUAAUGUACUAAACUAAUAUAAAAUAGGGUUAAUUUUAUUUUUUUAUUUAACUUUUCAAUGUACAUAAAAAAAUAAUUUUCUCACCUUUUAUCAUAAGAAUCACAUUGUCAUAUUAAUGGAAAAAUAAUUUUCAAGGGAAUAUUAAAUUCCAGGAAAAGUAAAAAAACAUGCAUGACAUACUAAAAGUUGAAAUCACUUUUCCACUAAUUAAUUUUUUAAAAAAAGUAACUACUUUCUAUCCUACCAAACACUACUUUAUUGUCAUACAAAAUUCGAAAUUCUUUAGCCUUAUUUUUAUUUACAUUUAACAUUAAUGAUUUUGUGGUCUGUACACUUACAAAAUAUUAAAUAUAAACAUUUCUAAGAAACUUAUAUUAAUUGAGCAUUAUUUUAGACUGGAACACCUUCAAUUUUAUAUUUAUUAAGAUUAAUAUUCCGAACUUUUAUGAAAUUACAAGUGAAGUGUUAUUUAUCUGGCUGCACCAAAAGAAUUUUAUUAUAAUAAAUAUACAUAUUUCUUGUUCUGAUAUUUUUUAUUAUAGCAUGAAUUAUGAAACCAUGAAUAAUUUUAUUUUGAAUAUAACAGAAUAUUCUUAAUUAAUUAUUAAAUAACUUUAAGUGGCGCACAUUGUCAGCAGAUCCCUAGUGUUAUAAUCACUGAUUUUUAUAGAGCUUCCUUCUAUUUUCGCAAUAAUUUGACAUAUUAAGAAGAAUGGUUUUUUUUUCCUUCUUUAUCGGCUCCCUCCUUCACCCUAUUGGCUGAGAUUUUUGACAAUGAAAAUACAACCUUGUUGACUCCAAUAGGCAUACUUCAAUUUGGAAAACACUAAAAUCAAUGGAAGAAAGUACAACCUUAAAUUUUACGGCACUCGAAGACCAAGACCAAAAAGAUAUACGUAUAUUUGGGUGUCCUUUCUAUCCACAUGUUGUUUCCUUGUUGACUCCAAUACACCACGUCUUUAGUCUUUUUAGUUAAUUGCUGUAAGUGGACUUAAUUAAACCCUUUCAGUUUCUCUCUUAUUGUCUAUCAAUCCUUCCUCCUAAGAUGGAUGAAAGUUUGAGAACAGCUGUUAGUGAUUUGUAUUCAUUAAUUCAAAGAAAUGGAAAUGUUUUGAGGAGUUUUGAUGAAGUGGAGUUUAUGGAAACUCCAUUACACGUAGCUGCAGAAGAAGGAUGCAUUGGGUUCGCAAUGGAGAUGAUGAACUUAAAGCCAUCAUUUGCCAGGAAGCUAAACCAACAAGAUUUAAGCCCAAUUCACAUUGCGGUUAAAAAAGGGCAUAAAGAGAUGGUGUUACGCUUCCUAGAGAUCGAUAAAGAUCUUGUUCGUGUCAAAGGGAAGAAGGGUAAGACUCCCUUGCACUUGAUAAGUAAAGUUGGAAACCCUGAUGGCUUGGUCGAUAGGUUUUUGGAGGUUUGUCCCCAAAGUAUCAAAAACGUUACAACUAGGAAUCGUACUGCUUUGCAUAUUGCAGCGGAAAAGAAUAGAUUGGACUCUUUCCAAGUUCUAAUUCGAACACUUAAAAAGAAAGACUACUGUCAAGAAGUAGUGAACAGGAAAGACGAAGAUGGCAACACUGCACUGCACAUAGCUGCUAUCAAUAAUCAACCCCAGGUUCGAUCCAUCAUCUCUUGUAUAUAAUUAAUAUUACAUGGAUUGUUUUGUAUUUCAUGGUUGACUGGUUGUUGCUUCUCUUUUUUAAUAUCUCAAAUUAUUAACUAAAUAGAUGCUCAAACUACUACUAGAAUGCAAAGCUGAUAAGCAUGAGACCAAUGAGGCUGGUUUGACGGCACUGGAGGCAGCGCAUCAAUAGAACAAUAUUGAAAGCAUUAGCAUUCUGCGUGAUUGUUUUAGUCCACGAGUUUCCAACUUUAAAUAUAAGUUGAAGAAACAAAUUGGCAGGUAUGUGGCAAAGGCAUCAUCGUUAAUCUUUAACGAUGUAGACAAUAUAUCAAGCGAGGACCGCAGUACCUUACUAAUAAUUUUAGGACUGCUUCUAACGGCAUCCUUCCAAGUGGCCAUUAGCCCGCCCGGUGGUGUUUUGCAAGGAGAAAAUUUCUCAAAGUCCAAAGGAUCAUUUGAUGCAAAUGCACCGGGGAGAUCAGUCUUGGGUGCAGUUAACUAUCUUCGUUUCUUUGUUCCAACUUAUUUUGUGUUUAUGACAGCAUUUUUCUUAACAUUAGACCUCCUUAAACCUUUUCCUGUUGGUUUUAGGACUGCACUUCAAAUAUUGCUUGCAGUUUUCGCAUUAUGCUUCCAUCUAUCAAUAUGUUUCAUAGCGCCAACUCUUUUAGCAGCGAAUAUUAUCAAAAUAGUUUCGAUGUUAUUUGGUCUUUUGUUGGUGCUGGUGGGCAUCACUAAUCGGGUGUCAAAACUCAGCAUUUCGAUUCUGGGAUUUGGGUUAUGCCCAUGGAUAUUAAUUUUUCUCAUAAAUGAAUUUUGGGAAGGAACCAUUUUAAUUGUAGGAUAUUGUUUAUACUCCAUGAUCCUAUUCUUAGGCGGUAGUGAUCCUCUGCGGUUGAUUCUGUCUAGUAUAUUCUUAGGAUGUUGGUUAUUCAUUAGUCUAUGUAGGUUCUGCAUAAAGCGAUGUUAUGCACGUUGUAACUCGUAAAAAAUCAAAUUUAUAGUUAUUCUUAUUUUCAACCUACUUGUUUUCUGUUAAUUUUUUAUAGUAUUUUAAUUAGCAAAAUAGUUAAUAUAAUAUAAUUUAAUUUAGUAAAUAAUAUGAGUAUCAAAUAAAAAUUUCAUUACCAUCUUAUUAAUAGUACUUAAUAUGUGAUUAUUAUUAUUAAUCAAAGAGCUCAUUUGUUGCAAAUAUGCAAUUAAAAAAAAUGAAUUCAUUUAAUUUGUUUCAAAAAAAUACAAUAAACUAUUUCAAAUUUUAGAAACAAAACACGGUAAAUAUCUCAUAAUUUUUCAUAAUUUACCUACAAUAAAAAAUUUGUUAGAUUACAAUAAUAAUAUAAUUAAAAUAAAUAUAAACUAUCUAAACAUAAAAACAUACAAAUUAAAAAAAAUAGAAAUAGAAACAUACAUGAUUAGUUCAUUUCAAACCGCCUAUAAAAUUUAAUCAACAUUUUAAUAAAUUAAUAAAAAUUGUCAAAUAAAUAAUUAAUAAAAAUUAAUAUAUAAUUGCAUUAAAAAAAUCACAAAACACUAAACUAAACACUAACAAUUUAUAUAACCUAAUAAUAAAUUACUAACAAAUUAAUUAUAAAAUUAUUUUUUUAAAAAAAUUACAUUACUAAAAAUCACAAUACCCUAAACCACUAAACACUAACAAUUUGUAACCUAAUCCCAUAAAUUAUUAAUAAAAUAAAUAAUUAUAACAAAACACAAAACACAACAUUUUAUAAUAAAUUACUAACAAAAUAUUUAAAUAAGUUUACAUUACUAAAAACUCACCAAAUACUAAACUAAACACAACAAUUUAUAACAUAAUCCUAAAUUACUAAUAAACUAAUUUUAAAAUAAUUACAAACACAAAAAUUUAUAACAUAAUCCUAAAUUACUAACAAAUUAAUUUUAAAAUAAUUAUAAAAAAAUUACAUUCAUACAAAAUAUUAACCCAAAACCAUAAACACUAAACAUAAACAAUUUAUAAAUAAUAAUUAAUAACAAAAAAUUUAACAACAUCUUAAUUAAACUCUUUAAAUUAUAAACAAAAUUAUUUACUAAAAUAAUAAAUUACCUUCUUUUUUUUUCUUUCUUCUUCUUCUUCUCUCCUUCUUCUUCUUUUUUUUUCUUCUCCUUUCUCUCCUUUCUUUCUCUCUUUCGGUGGCUGCUUCAAACUUCAACUUGGGGAACCAUGCUUAUAAGGUUCCCCAUUUACCAUUUUUUUCCCUUGAAGGGACUAUACUUGUGCAGCUGACAGCGCCAGGGGGGCAGCGGCAAAAGGCAGCAGAAGGGGGCUAGGACGGGCAGCGACAGAGGGCAGGACGCGAGGCGUAGGGGGAGCUGAGGUGUUGCGCCUAUCUGUCAGGCUCGACCAUUUUCGGGUAUUCUUUACCCAUAUUUUGACCCGUUUACUGUAUUUUUAUGGGUAUAUAAAUUUAAAUAUUUUUAAUAAAAAUAAAAUAAUAAUAUUUUAUUAAACCAAAAAAUAAUUUAAUAUAAAAAAAGGGUUGCGCCUGUCAGAUAGGCGCGACUAAAAAAAAUACAAUUUUAAUAUUUAAUCCAGCUGACAACCUAUUUGGAUAUUUAAUUUUAAUAUAUUUAGAUAAAAAAAGUCGUAAUUAAAUAUUGGCCUAGUCAAAUUUGACAAACAACUUUAAUUGCUGGCUGGGGUUAGAUCACUAGGCUGCAAUUGGGCGGAGUUAGAUUACUAGGCUAGGAUAUCUCUAUUUGAGUAUUCGGCUGAAGCCUGCAGUUAACUCGGAUUUUAUUUAUAUUUUCUACUUUUUCAUAUAAAAUAAUCAUUUAAUUAUAUGUAUGUGAAGAUUUGAUUGAUAGAAUUUACAAAUGUGAAAGAUUAUUUUUUUAAUUAUUUAGGAUUAAGAUUAAAAUGAUAAAAUUUAUAAUUAUUGAUGAUUAAAUAUGUUAAUAUACCAGUUAGAAAAGGUCACGUCAUCAUUUCUUUUAAUCAUUUAAUGGGGAGUAACCAAAACAGAAACAAUCUAAAACAUUAGUAACGAAAUUGGAAUUUUUUAUAGUUUGGUGACCCAAACAAAAUUUAUACGAAUAGUUUGAUAACUAAUAGUAUAGUUUUCCCUUUAUUUUAUUUUUAUUUAUGUUAUUUUUAAUAAUUAGAUUUGUGAAAAUAAAAUUCAUUGUAACUAAUAUAAAAUAUAAAAUCUGUAAGACCCAAAUUUUAUUCGGGCCUAAAAUAAACAAUCCAACAAACACAAAAAAAAAACCACUUACAAAACAAGCCCAAACCAAGCCCAAUCUAACCCUAGCCCAAAGUUAACAGAAAAAAACAAAAAUACCAAAACCCUAGGUGUGCCGCACCUAGGGUCUUCUGACCAGCAGCCUCAGCACAGCCUCUGCUGCCACCCACGUGCUGUCUGACACCCUUCAACCACCAUCUGCAAAGAAGAACAGGAAAGAGACAGAAGCCAUGUGCAGGAACAGUAACAAAGAAGCAAAAACGCAAUAGCAAUGAACCAUAAUCAACAGUAGCAAAUAGGCAGUGAAUCGGCUAUAAAGCCACCAAAACAAACGAUUGUAAGGGGUGAUUUUUGAAUACAAAAAAAUACUGUAUUACACGCAUAUUUCAGAAAUCAAAAGAAAAAAAAAGGGUUGAUUUUGAUUUUCUCUUCUUUUUCUUUUCGUUUUCCCUUUUCUUUUUUUUAUAUUAUUACAAAUCUAUUUUCAAGCAAAAUGAUAAAAUAAAAAAAAAGAGGAGAGAAAACUUACCCGAGUCCGAUCUUGCGUGACUCCGACCACUGUCCACGGUGGAGCCAAGGCUGUUCGGCGAUGGUGCGAUGAUGGGUUUUCAAAACCCUAGCAGAAAAGGAAAAAUGAAAAAGGAAGGGGAGGGGCUACUCUCUGUUUUUAGAAAAAAAGAAAGGAAGAAAUGAAAAAAAAAUUAAAAAAAAUUUGGCUUUAACAGCCCUGCAAAACGACCAUGUUUUGCUUCCCCCCCCAUACGCCUUAAAACGGCGUCGUUUAGGGGGGAACCCGCGCGACCCGACCCAGGUAGUGGAGGAUUCGCGUGUUUUCAGACGUAUGGGCUAUUUACGCCCUUAGUCCUUCCACCUUUGGGGACGUUUCAAAUGGGAUCCUUUCUGUUAUUUCCAUUUCAGCCUUAAAAUUUUAUUUCAGUUUCAAUUUAGUCCCCCAAUUUAGCCCAUACACGCUGCGCACAAGGGACCAAGGAUAUUUUCCCUUUUGGUCGCUAUUAGUUUUUGCGCAUUACGUUUUAAUCCUCCACUUUGUUUUUCAUUUCCGAUUUCCCCCUUUAAAAUUUGUUUAGCUUCCAAUUGUGGUCCUUAUUACAUAAUUUCAACUUUUACUAUUAUUUUUCCUUUUAUAGAUAUUUUAUUUUAUUUGUUUUGUUUAUAUAUUUUAUUUUUGUUUACUGAUUUAGGUAUUUAGUUAUUAUUCUUUGGUUCUUUAAUAUUUAAUAUUGUCUUUAAUUUUUUUAUCAUAUUUUUUUAUAUUUUUCUUAUAUUUUAUCUCCUCUUUUAUGUUUUUAUUUAUUUCUUAUUGUCAUAAUUAUUGUUAUUUAUUUACAUACCUCUUCAUUGCCAUUUUAUUACUACUACCUUUAUUAUUGAUAUUAUUAUUAUUACAAUUAAUUAUUAUUAUUAUCAUUUCUUAAUUGUUUUAUUUAAUAUUUCUUUAUCCUUCUAUCUAUUUGCUUAUUUUCAACUUUUUACUUGCUUUUUUUAACUGGUCUGUCUUUUUUAUUUCAUUUAUUAUUUAUCCUUUUUUAUUUCUUGCUCUUAUUGUUGUAAUUUAUAUUAUCGCAUUCGCUAUUAUUCUAUUAUGCAUAUUAAUAUCGUUUUUAUCAAGCAUAUUAUGCCAUUAUUACUACGAAUUUGCGUUGCAUUAAUAUUUACCCACUACAUAAAAUGUCGUGUUUUAAAUACGCAAUAUUUUCGCAUUUCGGAAAUUCAAGAAAUCUUACCCUCACUUAUAAGGUUUUGAUUUUAUCGUUAAACCCAGAUAGCAAAAUAUCUCUUCAAAAUUUAAAAUAUAUGAAUUUUAAAUUAUAAUAAAGAUAACAUUCCGUGUUCGGAGAUUUUAGAGAUCGUGUCCUAAUGUGUUGGAUUUCUAUUUUUUUCGUUUGACCCAAAUGACCGAAUCACCUUUUGAAAUUAAAACGCAUGGGUUUUGAAAAUCAAAAGACAAGCUUAUUCUCGAGGUUUUAAAAUGUUGUGUCUUAACGUACUGGAUGUGACAUUUUAUUACUUCGGAACAAGAAGGUCUUUAACAUUUGUUUCGAUUUACGCAAGUAAAUUCUUCGUAAAAAAUCAACAUUAAAAAAGAGAAGAUCGUUUUUUUAAAUCUUUUCGAGUUUUUAAAUUUCAACAUUAAGACAUUAAUUAAUCAAUUAGGUACCAAUCUUGGGAGUUACAAGGGUGCUAAUUCUUCCUCGUACGUAACCGACUCCAAAAUAUGUUUUCUCAAAUUUUGUAGACCAAAAUCGCUGUUUUAGUAAUACCAAAAUAUUUUAUUAAAACAAUUAAAUUACGAGGUAAUCUGACUGCACUUAAAUAAAAAAAAGAUUGGUGGCGAUUCUUAUUUUUUAUUUUCACUUUUAAAAUAAAAGUCGACUCAUUUUUUUCAAAAAAAAUGGUUUCAACAAAAUCCGUGGAUAUUAAUAUUUCUCUUAAAUGAAUUUUGGGAAGGAACCAUUUUAAUUGUAGGAUAUUGUUUACACUCCAUGAUCCUAUUCUUAGGCGGUAGUGAUCCUCUGCGGUUGAUUCUGUCUAGUAUAUUCUUAGGAUGUUGGCUAUUCAUUAGUCUAUGUAGGUUCUAUAUAAAGGGAUGUUGUGCACGUUGUAACUCGUAAAAAAUCAAAUUUAUAUUUAUUCUUUUUUUCAACCUACUUGUUUUCUGUCAAUUAAAAUUCUAACACUUCAAAUAUCAGAGUUCAAAUUUCAUAAAUGAUAUCUUCUUUUCAAAAACUUGCAAUUUGAAAGAAAACAAAAACAAAUUUUAAACUUGCAUGGGUGCCUAAUUCUAGAAAACUGUUAUUGAUGAAUUAUUAGAAGAAAAGAAUUUGAAACUAAAGGGUUUAAUGUCCAUAAAAACACUAAUUAUAAACUUUAUUAACAUUUCCAAAUUAUAUAGUGUUGGAGUAAUCAAAUGAAAAGUUAUAUCAAUUGAUUAUUAAUUAGAAUUUGUCACUAUUUAUAGUGAUGAGUUAUGCUUCUUAAAUUCUAAAGUUUUGUCACUUGAUUAUUAACAAAUAGUUAUAAUUAUUCAGGUAGAUAUCUAUCAGAUAAUUAUGUUUAUUACUAAAGAUAUGACUAUCCAUUUAGGUAGUUAUGUCUUUAUGAUGUAGAUAUCUAUAUUUCAUUUACAUGACACGCCAAACAACAUAGAAACUUUGUUUUUAUAUUUUCAUCAGUAUAAAAUGUAGACAAUUAUUAAGCUUCAUUGUAUCCUUAAGGUUCAUCUACUAUUAAUCUUUUCGCACACUAUAAUAUAAGUGGGGGUGAACAGAACUUUAAAGAAAGUGGCAUUGCCUUGAAGCUUUCAUUAAUUUCUUAUAAAUUCAUUUUAUCCCCCCACCAACAAUUUUAAGGUUCUAUUUUCGUAAUUUAUGAUAAAUUAAAGAAGGUAUGGCUAUUCACUAUGCAUUCACAUGCCACUACAAUCAUGGUACUAUGAGGAUGACUUCAGAAAGGGGAUAACAUUGAGGUUAGUGAUUUAAUUAUUGGCUUAGAAGAAAUAUUUGUAGCAAUAACAACAGAUACGUCAAUUUUUGGUUUACUAUUAUUGCAUGAAUUGAAUUUCAUGGUUAUGUUCUAUCGAGAUUAGUUAUAUUAUGCAAAAAGUAUAAGUGUCUCAUGGAUUAGUUUUUGAUAAAGUCAAAUGCUAAUUUAUUAUAUACAUGAUAUACAUGCAUAGUUAUGACUGGUACAUAAUUAUGUAAUAUAUAUGAUAUGCAUAUAUUUUUACAAUCAUGAAAGGAGAAAGAAAAGGAGUUAAUGAAAUUUUUAAGCAAUGCAAGGAAAUAAUGUUUCGGUUGGCCCCUUAAACCGAAAACAUAUGUUUGUUCAAUGAUUUCAAAUCAUGAUAACCAUGUAUAUUUAGUAAACUUCCAACCAUGAAAAUUUAUGAUUUUUCAAAAAGACAAUUCUAUACUUAUUUAUACAUUAUAUGUAGAUGUUUGGUUGGAGUUGAAUUAAAUUAAUUCACUCCAUUUAAUUUGUGAGUGAAAUUUUUAGUGCAAAAUUAUUUUUUUGUGAUAUAUAUUUAAUUUGAUAUAUGAAUUUAUUUGUUUAUUUAAAUCAUGAUAUUAGUAACUAGCAUUUAAAUGAUAUUGAUGAGCCAUCAUUUUCAUUUCUAAAAUGAAAGUUUGUAAAUGAUCAUUAUAAUAUAAAUAAUUUUUGUUGUUGUUUUUGUUAAAUAACCUUAAGCUAAAUGGGCUUCAUAUAUGAUUGCACCUUUUUUAUUUUAUGUAAUCAGGUUUGAAAUAGAAGUGGUUUUGACUAGAAAUGAAAUAAGUUAUAUGCAUGGUUAAUUUUUCUAGUCAACGUAGAAUAGUAAAAAGCAUUGACCUAUAUAAUAAGAUCAAUAUUCUGGUAUGAAAUCUCCUAGUGAGAAUAUAUAACGUGAUAAUCAUAUAUUUGAAAUCAAGAUGAUAUUGUACAUAUUCACGAUAGUACAUGUGGUUUUUUUAUAUACGGUUUGAUUAUGAUCUACAAUCUCGUGGUUCUAUACAAUUUUGAGAUGUAAUACUCAACUCAAUGCUUAGUAUAACGUUUAAGUCUUGAGUUCAAUGAGAUAAAGUACAACAUCAAUAUGUGACUAUUAGCACUAUAAAAUAAUAUAUAUAAUAUAUCAUCCCAAGGUAAAAAGUGUUAGGUACUCGUAAUGAUAAGGGGAAGGAUGAGUAUUACACUCUUAAGACCCAUAACAUAAAUAUGUUAGUGUUAUAAUUACAAGAGCACUAUUGAUGGGAUCUACCUAUGUGAGUGGAAGUGUGGCUGAUUCUAGGAGCUUAGGGUUUAGCUUUGACAACACUCAUUAAAAAGAGGUUACAAACACAUUACCAUAAUAGUGUCAUUGGAUGCUAUGCAUUAAUUGGCAUUGAAAUCACUGUGUGAGAUGUGUUCGGUUAACCAAAUUGAAUAGUUGGUCCAAAGCAUAGUUUACUAUGCAAUUUUGAUUAACUUUAACAUGUUUUCACUAAGUGAAGGUUCAAUCGUAAGACACCUUACACAAUUGAUUUCCAAAUUUAUCAAAAUCUAGAAUAUGUUGAAAAUGGGAGAGGAUUGUUAGAACAUUUCCAAAAUAUAUAGUGUUCCAGUAGUUGCAAAUGAAAAUUUAUAAGUAACCAAAGUUAUGUCACUUGGUUAUUAACCAAAAGUUGUCACUAUUUACAGUGAUGAGUUAUAUCUCUUAAAUCCAAAAAUUAUGUCACUUGAUUAUUAACAAAUAAUUAUAAUUAUUCAAGUAGAUAUCUAUUGAACAAUUAUGUUAUUGUUAAAGAUGUAGUUAUAUCCCUAUAAAGAGACAUGAGACCUUUUGUAAAUAGGACUUGUAAAUAGGAAUGGAAUUUCAUUUGCGUGACACACCAAAAAACAUAGAAACAAAGUUUCUUUUUAUUCUUCCACCAUCUUUCAUAUUACUAGAUUGUUCUAUAGAGAAUUAUUGUAGAUUUUUUUUUAUAGAAAUUGAUAUUAUUGUUAUGCUCCACUUAAUGCUCAGUUGAUUAUUUCUGUCGAUGCAAAACGUAAAUAGUCAUUGGGCUAUUGUAUCCUCAAGGUUCAUUUGCCACUAACUCUUUUACAUACCAUAAUAUAGGUGGGGCGAAUAGUGUUGGAAAAAAUUUGGUUCGAAAAUGCUUUUCUUACAUAGUGAAAAAUUAAAAUUUUGAAAGUCGAGUUAGUUUGUGAUAUUUAUAGCAAUAAACUUUAUCUGAAAUCGCACCUAUGUUUUUUGGCUAGACAGAUCCUUGUCAUUCCCGACUUUCAACUAAACGACCUUCUCUUUUAUUCUCGUACCACGAAUUGCUUUGAUUGUGGGCUCAAACAAAUUCAAAUCAAACACAAUGCAACACCCUAACCCGUAUUCGUCGCCGAUUAGGGUCACAAGACAUUACUAAACAAAAGCACAGUUCCGAACAUUUACAUAUUCACACAAAUCAUAAUCGUAUAUAUAUAUAAAGCAUGUAGCUAAUUAAAUAUUAAAAAUACAUUAUUAAUUAUAUUGCAAACACGAAUUGUACCUCAAGAUUCAAUCAAAUUCAUACCAUUUCCAUCUCCCAAACUUAAAUUUAACAUAUACUGAGCAUAUAUCAUAAAUUCAAAUUUGAUUCAUAUAUUUUAUUAUUAUUUUUAUUUUAUAUUCGAAGCAACUAGCUUGCCACAAGUCAUGUUAUACACGCUUUAUAAUUCUACUAUUCUAACCAUACAUAUAUCUCAUUUAUAGCUUCUCUACUUAACAAAUUAUAAGGAAACUUAUUACUCCACAAUUCCAUGCACAUACAUUGAUACAUCCAAACAUGAAAUUUUAGCAACCAUUACUAAAUGGUCAAGUUAUUCCACAUGAAUUAAUAGACAAAAUUAUACAAGUACAUACAAGCAUUACCAAAUGAUCGAAUCUCAAUCGUAUUUAUAACUAAUUCAUG